rnacentral:lncRNA from 1 species
AAUUUUUUUUUGUUAUUUGAUUUUCAACUUCAUUAUCUUGCUUAUGAAAUUUAGUAUAAUAAAAUAUUUUUUUCAAAAAUUUGUGAAAUGUAUUUUGAUUCAAUAUUAGAAAGUUAUACUCAUUAUUUCACUUAUCCGUAUUUAUAAUCCAAUACCUAACAUAAAUAUUUAGAUGUAAAAAUAAAAAAAUGAUACUUAUUUAAUAAAUGGGUAAUUGUCUGUAAAUCCAUAACGUUUACACGAAAUUGAUUUUUGCACCUAAUUUUAUUUUUCUACUUUUAAAUACAUAAUCUUUCGUUUUUGUCUCAAAUUUAUUCCGUGACCAAUUUUUUCUUAAGCUGGCGUUGGAAAUGCCACUGUGGCAGUCUGAAUUGCAUUGAAUUAGAUACAUCAACAGUUUCAACAAAUCAAAUAUCCCUAUAAAUUUGCAUUGAAUUCAAAUAUCCCUAUAAAUUUGCAUUGAAUUAGGCAGGGGCUGCGCGCACGCAAACCCCCUCUACCACAAAUUAUGACGUAAGUUCGACCACUUGGGUCGACUUUAGGCAAGCACCCUCCUAAGUGCAAUGGAGGUUACAAACCUAGGCCAUGAGCCUUCUAGAUCAACCAUCGACCCCGUCCAGGUAAGUAUGGGAUUUGAUUUUAUUUCUUCCAUUUAUCCACACGCUACUUCCAUGCUCCAUCUACUUGGAUACCUAUGUGGGAUAUACACUUUGUUUAUUCAAAAAAUUAAUCGCUUCCUUCUCCUUUGCCUCCUUUGCAUUUUUGACAUUUACUUUACAUAAUUUUUUGUUUCAAAAUUUAUUCGAAGUGUAUACGUCUAUAACCACAUUAAUAUACACUUAUUUUUUUUUUUUUAUCAGGAAAAAAAUCAUAUAGUAUUAACUAUAGGCUUCGGUAUCCUUUGCCCAGAAGCGUUUACAAAAUGAGAGAAAAUCAAAAGCAGAGGCUUGAAAAGGGUCCUAAACACUUGAGUGCCUCUAUUGCAGAGUUAAUCUAUCAACUUUGCAUCAGAAAACCAUAUGCCAUUUUCCACCCCCACAUUCUGAAUUUGAUCUCUGCCAGCAGUUUUUCCGAUUUCCAAACUUAAUUUGAUUCGAUUUUGAGAUCGUUAUCAUCCUCAAUGCUCCGCCGGAAACACUCAUGUUAUCAACCUUGCUUACAAUUUCAGUUGUCCACCAGAGCUUGGGAGUUGAAGAAUUUGCAUUGGUUAGCUCAAUAGACUCAUCAUUAUGCAAUGUUCUCAUAAUUCUUCACUUGGAAGCUUGGGUUGGAUAUGUGGAUCCUCCUUCCUUUAUGCUCCAAACACCUUUUAUUUCUUGAUUUUUUAGUCAUUAUUGUAAUGAAAACAUGAUUUGCUUUUUUCUAUCAAAUCAUAAUUUUCUAUUUUAAUUUCUAUAGAUUAUUGCUAAGAAAACUCCUGAGUAUUUUGAGUAUGAUGUUUUGGCCUGUAAGAGUUGAGAGAACAUUAUGUCCUAUUUUUCAGAAAACAUGAGCCACUAUUUGAACGAACAUCGGCGCCAAAUUUUGACCAAGUGUAUUUGAUUAUAUGUAUAGUUUACGACCGCCAAAUUUCAUCAAUUUCCAUUAUGGUUUGAUACAUUAAUUUCAAACAACUCAAAUUAGACAACUUGAAACUACCAAGUUUAAAAAAAAGGAAUGAGAGCCCAAGUUUACUCUUUGAAUUGAGGGAUCAAAUGAACGGAUCUCCCUGUGAAAUUUUAACCGUAGAUACGCAUGUAUGUAUACUAGGUAUCUGGAGAUUUUCAGCCAUUUUCAUUGAGCUUAGCCUUGUUUUCUACAAGUUCAAAGUAGUCAACUUGAAACUGUCCAAUUUCAAGAUGCCAUUUUCAAAUGAGUAUAUCUUCUGAACCAUAGCAGUUGAUAGAGUCAUUCAAAUUGGAGAUGUCUCAAAGUUUUCAGAAAGCUAUUUUCUGUAUUUUUUCAAGCAUUCUACGAAUUAUAAUGAAUUUUAAAAAAAAAAUUGAAUUAAAACAGUAGUCAUUUUGAAAAAUUUGCCAAAAAACUGGCUAAAGCGUUGAGUAUGAGUUAAACUUGAACACAGACCUUACUUGAUUAUUAUAUAAUUAUGUGUCUAAAUGCAUGAAUUAUGUGCAUGUUAAAGAGUUAGUAAGUUAGGAAAAAGGGUAAACCAACGCAACAUGAGGGUUAUCAUCUUCAAUGCUCCGCUGGAAAGGGAGAGACAGAAGAAAAAAUAACAUCUUAGUUGAAAUGUAGUUCAUCUAAAAUGUACUUGAAAUAGAACCAACACAGAUUAUAAAAUUGGGUUAUCAUUUUUUAUUCCAAUUCUUCAUAGUCUCGUUUUUGUUAAUAUCUCAAUUUUUAAAAUUUAUCAGUUAGAGCUUUUGAAACAUCAUUGAUUGUUCAAUCUUGUUUUCAAUUUUAUCAUCAAAAUAAAAUAAAAUAAUUGACACAAAAGGAAAAAAGAUUAGAAUAGAAAAGAUCAUUAAUCAGUUCGACUGAAAUUGUUAUGUUUUUCAACGACGAAAACACACACUAAAAAAACCUAUAAAUUGUAUCAAAUAAUUGAGGUUGGCAAAUAAAGAACGACAUCAAAUAGCUGAUUAAGUAUCCUACAAAAAUUGACUUAAUUUGUUGGGGUUUUCCAAUAAAAAAACACCCUUCAAAAAAUGGCGUAUGCUGCUUAAAUUGCGACGAGCACACGGUAUUCUUUAGUAAAAGGCGAAAGAAUAGUUCGCUAUGUGCUCAACGCGCAGCUGCGUAUUUUAAAACUGUGCAAAUUUUCCAUAUUUAUUAAUACUGGCGUAGCAUUUUGUUUGGGUGUGUCUGCGAUGUGGGAUGUGUCUGCGUCUUCUUCAUUAAUUUAAUUAAAUGACUGCCUGCAUUUUCUUUCACGAUUUGCUCUAACAAAAAUUUUGGUACUAACACUUUUUAAGUGAAUGUAUACCUGCAAGAAAGAUAUUAAAAUCUAUAAAUUAACAUGACAUUCUAGUCCUUUAAAAGAGUUUCUGUAUAUCGUUUUUAGCUAUUUACUUUUUCCAUUUUCUUUCUCUAGUUCCAUCACUCAUUUAUUUUGAUUGACUCCUGAAAUCCAAUAUGUUGGCUUUGCGAUGUAAUGUUUUAGUUCAAUUUUAACAAAACGUAUAAUCUUAUAAAUAUAUGUAUCACUAUUUUCAUAUUGGCAAAAUACAUCUUUAAGUUCUUAUACCUUUCAAUAUUUAUUUCAGUAGGUUCUUACACUAUUUUUAUUUUUGGGUUAAAUUGUAUAUAAAUUAUUGAACUUUCAACAAAUUUUUAUUACAAACUUUAAAAUCUUUAUUAAAAUUACUCAACUAUUAAUUUCUUCUCAUUUUGAUAUUUGUCCAUUUUUCAUCGUGUUGUUAUGGCAUGAAUAUGCUUGCGUAGCAUAAAUACAACUAUGUGGAAAAAUAGAACUGACGUUGUAAUGUAUAGUUGAUUAAUGUAUCUUAAUAGAGGUAUUUAAAGUUCACGUGCAAAAUGAAAAUUUGUUGAAAGUUCAAUAAUUUAUAUGCAAUUAAUCCUUUAUUUUUUAAUAAAAUCAUGAGGUCCUUGCACUAUUUUUAAGAGGUAUUUUAAUCUAACAUCAUAAACAUUUCUAUUAAAAAUAAAUAUAUUCGAUACAUUUAUGUGAUACUUUGAUAGUUUCAACAAGUCAAAUAUCAUGUUCCUAUAAAUUUGCAGUGAAUUAGUUAGGGGCUGCGCGAACGCAAGCCCCCUCUACCACAAAUUAUGACGUAAGCUCGACCACUUGGAUCGACUUUAGGCAAGCACCCUCCUAAGUGCAAUGGAGGUUACAAACCUAAGCCAUGAGCCUUCUAGAUCACCCAUCGACUCCGUCCAGGUAAGUAUGGGAUUUGAUUUUAUUUCUUCCAUUUAUCCACACGCUAGUUCCAUGCUCCAUCUACUUGGAUACCUAUGUGGGAUAUACACUUUAUUAAAAAAAAUUGCUUCUUUCUCCUUUGCCUCCUUUGCAUUUUUGACAUUUGCUUUACAUAAUUUUUUGUUUCAAAUUUAUUUGAAGUGUAUACGUCUAUAACGACAUUAAUUUAUUUCGAUUUGGAUCGAUUUUGAUAUCAUUUUGGAUUCAGGUUGAUUUUUAAAGUAUUGAGGGUUAACAUCCUCGGUGCUCCGCCAUAAACAGAGAGACAGAAACAAACCUUAUUCUUUUUCUAAUACAACAAAUUUGUUACAAUUAAAUACAACAUAUUGUGGUAUUUACUCAUUCAUAAUACAUGACAACACCCUUCAAAUUAGCCAUAGCUAUUGUCAGAAUGGGCAAAUGUUGCACAAUACGAAACCAGUUUAAGUGCUUAUUUUAUUUUGCAGCUUCGAAUGGCUCUCUCUCAUCUUCAUAUACAGUUUCUAGGAUCAUCUUCAGUAAAAACACACACGAAUAUGGCAUAGGAAACCUCAAAGGUGGACCCUUCGCCUUCAUAUCUUCUUUCUCAAUACGAACCUUUCCAUUCCUGCAUCAACCUGGUAUGUAAUGUCAUCAAUCUUGUCUACCAGAGCUUGGGAGUCGAAGAAUUUGCAUUGGUUAGCUCAGUCGACUGAUCAUUAUGCAAUGUUCUCAUAAUUCUUCGUUUGGAAGCUUAGGUUGGAUCUGCGGAUCCUCCUUCCUUUAUGCUCCAAACACCUUUUAUUUCCUCGAACAGGACUUCUUUUACAAGGAGAGCCGUCUUCCAAGAUAAUUCCACAAGUGAGGUUAAACUUUUUGCCGGAGGUUUGCUCACAAGGAUGAUGGUUCUCUGUGAUAUAUCUCUGUUUCUGAUCUUGAUUAUCAGAAUACUCUUGAUAAGUUUCUACACCAGAUUUUGGGUUGGCAGCAAGAGGGAGUUUUCCUUCUGUAGCCAACUUUGAAUUGUAGCCGUUGACUCUCAGUCCUUUGUGCACAGCACAUCGUUUUCUUCCUGCAACAGGUGGUGAAGUGCAAACAGAUCCAUGGCCGGUGGCAACUCCACAAAUAUUAUCACCACAAUCACCAUAACCAGAGUGCAUUGGUGUUUCCUGCAACCUCCUAACUCCAUGUAUUCUAGAGAAUAUUGUACUAUUACCAGUUCCAUUCAUAUUAGAGCCGUUUCUGAUUUUAAUGCCCACUUCCCUCUUGUUGGAGAAAAGAAACUCUUUUGCAAGAAGAGAAAACUUGGACGUUUUUUCAAGACGUUCAAGUUUUUUGUGGAUAUCAUCUUGGCGGCGUGAAACAUUGCUGCCUUUAUUCCAUGCAUAAUCAAAUUUGUCAAGCAGCUGUUUCUCAGUUAUCUCUGCAUCAUUCUUACUUUUUAUCUGUGAGAAUAAUUCAAGAAAUGAGACUAACGUUGAAAAAUUAGAUCGUGCAUGAUGAGAUAAGAUAUCUUUAUUGCCAUAAGAUGAUAAUUGGUUAAAUGGACUGAGUCCUAUAAUAAGACAAACUAGCAUCAUCACAAGUGAUGUGUUAACCAAGGACUGAAUUUGGAUUAACACUUUUGAAUCACACACAACACACUCCUAUGCUUUUCUGGAGAAGGACCAAGUAUCAGUACAAUUAAACAUAUGCAGAUUGCAUCAUUUUGACAAUUUUAAGUACCUCUAAGAUUUUGAAUCAGCCAGCUUGCCAUCCCGAGUUUCAGGUACCACAAAACUUGGGAAUAGAUUCAGUUAAUUUAGUUAAAAAAAUACCUUUCUUUUCUUUUCUUUAUAGUAAAGAGGUGCACCAAAAUUUUCUUGUAGCAGAAAAAUUCUACUGAUUUUGGGGAAUGGAUCACAAUUUCCUUUAUCUGUGUGCUGAAUAAGAAAGCUUAUGAGAGAUUAAGAUGAAGAGCAUACUCUUAAUACACAUAAUCAUAAUACAGUCGGUGCGAGUUUUUCAAUUUUCUGCUAAGGGGAGAUAAGGGAUGCUGCAGUCAUUUGGACCUAAAAAGAAAAUAGGGCAUAGGAAUUAUUAUAAAUUAAAAAAAAAAAACAAAAAACUUACUUUAUUGCUUUAUUCUUGUAGAAAAUGUGUAUCCAGUCUUAUUUUUUCAAUUUUCAGUCACUUAUCACUCAUUCAUGCUACUGCGCCUGUUGGAAUGCAAAUGAACAAUUACACUAAAUGAAUCAAUCAAUAAAUUAGAAGUCUCAUAGAUAUAGUACUUACAGGAGCACAUCUAUAAACGAUUGGCAGCCCUCUUGAGAAUAUAUCUGUAAAUAAUCCAGGUCCCUUAUGAGAAGAAAUACUUUGACAACUAACAGUUUUGCUACUUGUAUAUCCAUUUUCCAAAUGGGCACCAUCACGGCCAUACUGCUGCAGUCGGUUCCUAAGAUUAUCGGCCUGUCCAAGAUAAACGGGAAUGACAGAACUUGAGUCCAGCUUUCUGGUUUCCCUUCCAGAUUGUGGGCGUGAUGUAGCAAUCCCAAGCUCAUAAACUCCUGGACAUGAAGUCCAGUUUGGGAGGUUUUCUGUCCUAUACCUUUCUACUCCUUCUUUUCCCAUCGAAUAAUCUUCCCAAUCAAAGGCUCCUAUUAGGAUCUGGUCAUACAUCAGCAUCAAAAAUUAGAAACUUUGUUGGUCAAUCUCAUUCGGAGCAUCCUUUUAUUUUCCAAAACCGAAAACUAUGUUAUUUGCUGAACCUAAACUCAUUCAACUAUCGCUUCGAAAAUUAGAAACUUUGUUGGUCCAUCUCAUUCAGAACAUCCUUUUAUUUUCCAUUCGCACCUCGCUGAUGCUGAUACAAGUAAAUCACAGCCCUCAAUAGGACCUAACAGAACAAACACUAAUAGUGAUCUCUUCAUUCUCUUGCAAUGGUUAUAAGUGUCUACUUUUGAAAAUACUGUCAAUUAUAAUUCAGUUCAAUUACUUCCUCAACAUCAUGAAUCCUUCAAUCAAAAAGCAGGAUAGAUCGGGAAAACUUCUUUCUCAAGCAAACACAAAUACUUUAGAAAUAAACUACGAAUUAUCAGCCUCUUAGUAUUUUGAGUGUUCACCAAAAUAAAUCUAAGCCCUCUACUAAAUUCAAUGCACAGCUAAACUCAAACUCCUCAAGCCCCAUAGGAGAAAUCCCCCCUUUUAUGUCCGGUCAACAUGUUACUAUCAGAGAAACCAGACCAAUUAAUUCAUCAAGAGCACAAAUCGCGACUUAACAGAAGCCAUUUGUGUUAAUUCUUUUACUCCAAGAGAAAGAUAGUAGAGUUUUUUCACAGCUCAGAAACAAGCAGUAAACACAUUGAAAGAGAUAGGAAGCAGGCGAUAAGUGUGUGUUGAGGAAAGAAGAGGACCUUCCAUUGGGAAAAAGCAGAGUCGUGUUUGGUGCGCCGGAAAUCCUCUCUCUUGAGCCGUGUGGUGGUGGUUGAAGAGGUGUCGGAAGCGGAGCUGCGCGCUCCCAGUCCCAUUCAGCUCGCUCCUCAGUCUAUCACCGGAGCUGACCGUUGCUUUCGGGGCCCUUUUUAUAGUUUUCCAAUUUGAAAGACAAAUCAGCCCCUGCGAACCCGCUCUUCAUCAAAUCAAAUACUACUAUUUUAAAAAUACUAAACUGUAAACUCUACAAAAACUAAGAUUAAUGAAAAGAUUAACAGCUCUAUGGAAAGUAAAUUAUGGUGGGUGGUAGAUAAAAAAUUAUUCAUGCAUUUUUAUUUGUAAACUAAGAAAUAAGAAUUAGAAAAAAAUGUAUGAAUUCCAUGUAAAACACGCAUGAAUUCGCUGUAUAAAUGUAUAAAUUGCAAAAAAUAAAUUUUUGUUACCUUUGGAAUUCGAACUCAGGACCAUGAAUUCAUCCAGCAGGAUGAUGAAUUAACUGUAGAUUUUGAUGAUCUAACGCUUGAAAAUGAUUAUUAUUUUACAACAAAAGGUUUACGCUUAGAAUAUAUAUCAAGUAACCAUACUAUAUAGUGGGGUAUUUCUCUUUCUUGUAGCUUCAAAUUUUUUGUUAGUUUUUGGCUAGGUUGUUGUAGCUCCCUUCCACCUUUCUUUUCUGAUUGAUACAUGUUCUUGUGAAGUCCUUGAGUCUUCCAUACUUGUAGAAUGCGUGAAACCAUUCAUGCGUUGUUUCACUUAUUUUCGGCUCGUUCCUUUAUGUCUUGUUCUUCUCUUUUGUCUUUUCAUGAUUAUCUUUCUAAAUUGUGCACUUCUAUGUUCUGUCUCUUCGUAUGAUGUCUUUCUAUGUUUGUCUUGCUUCGUUCUAUCUUUCUAUUCAAGCAUUCUAAGUUAUACGUGCUUCCGUUGAGUACUAUAGCACUUCAUGCUAGGAGUCUAUCUCAUAAGAUUCUCAUGCUACUAUCUAGUGUAUUUCUCUAUCUGCAAGAAAAUUACACCUUUCUGAACUGAUAGCUAAGGAGACAAACUAGGCCUGCCUACUAAUAGCUGCUGGUCAUAAAGACAUAAAAUCAUUGUGACAAUUUUACUGACUGUUCUGGCGGUAAACUAUAAUUGUUUCUGAGUCAAAGCUCAAAUACUGAUCAUAAAAAUAUGACAAUCUUUCUGGUCAUAUAAAUAUAUAUAUAUAUAUAUAUAUAUAUGACAAAUCAAUCUGGUCAUAAAAAUAUGACAAAACUUCUGGUCAUAUAAAUAUAUGACAAAUCUUUCUGGCUAUUCGAGCUAAAGCUCGAAAUAACAUCUUUAUGUGUAUUGAGUUGUACAAUAAACUAAAAUCUUUUCCUUUAACAAGAACUUUUGCUUUAGAAAUCACUUUGAACACUUGUACGCAUUUUAAGUAAAAUUGGUUAAAAUUGCGUACCUUUCUUACUUGAGAGUGGUGUGAAGGCGAGCUGAGGUUGCUGUGUAGCUUAGACAUCAAAGAACUAGAGGUCUCAGAGUCAAGAACUUUUGCUCUAAUACCAUUUGUAACAGCUUCGAUUUUCCGGGAGAAUAAGAAAUGGGCUAUGUGACAAGAAUAUUAGGCUUUACUUAAUUAAACUAGUGUAUUACCCGUCGAAAUUCGACGGGUACAUAUUUUCUUGUAAUUUAUAUAUUUUAUGUUAUUCUUAUGAUAAUUAUACUCCCUCCGUCCCUAAAAUAACUUCCUCUUUUUCCAUUUUGGGACGUCCCCCAAAUAACUUUCUCUUUCUUUCUUUCCAUUUUUGGAAACCUACCCCACCACUAAUAAUACUUUAUUUAUUCUUACUUUUCACUUUUCAUCACUCUCAAUACUAAUUAUAACACUUUUCACAACUUCCAAUAAUAAUUAUAUCACUUUUUCUUCAUUAUCAAUACACUUUACAAUUUUUUAUUAAAACACGUGUCGUCCCCAAAGAGGAAGCCAUUUCAGGGACGGAGGGAGUAUAAAAUAAUUUUUUUAUGUAAAUUAUUUAUAUAAUUAAUUAAAUUAAAUUAAAUUAAAUUAGUAAUACAUUUUAAAUUAUAUUAAUCUCAAAAACUUUUAGUAAUUAAAUUAUUAAUUUUGUUGAGAUCAUAAAAAUACCCAUCAGUUUUCAUAUGAAAUUUUAUAAAAAGUUGACGACGUAAGAAAAAAAGAGUAGAAAUACAUAUAAAUUUGACAUAGGUAUAUGAGAUUAUUUUUGCAUUUUUGUACAUUAUUAAUUUUGUUCUAAUUUUUUUUAUUUGUGACCAUAUUUGGAUAUCAUAUAUUGAUAUCAUAUAAUUCCGAACUUCUAAAAGCAUAACUAAUUAUGAAAAUAAUCUCGCCUGAUAUUUAAAAGACCAUAACUGAUUUAUCGAACAUCGUAUCAUUUGGAGUUUUAAGACCAACCAAGUUGUGGGCAUCAUCUCGUCGCAAACUUGACAGAUCACCUCUAACUUCUGAGCAUCAUCUUGUCUGAAACUUGAAAGAGAAUUAUCUCGUCUAAAACUUGAAAGAGCAUCAUCUCGUCUGGAGUUUUGAGCAUCAUCUCAUCUAGAGUUUGAGAGAGCAUCAUCAAAUAUGAAAUUAUAUUCAACCAUGACUCCAAUUGUCAACUAUCUAACAAACAUAACUCUAACAAUUUAGAUAUUUUAUUUAUAUAUGUAAUUUUAUUAGUUCAAACUCUAGAGAUAAAGGAAAGAGAAGAGUUCUUAAAGCAGUAAAAGAGAGAGCGUGUGCUUUAUUUCAUCAUCAUAAGUAUUUAUAGGCAUUACAGUCGGGGUAAAGUAGUAAAUUCGUUUGGUCAUCUAUUCCGCAUGCUCGCCAUUAAACUAAUUAAGGCUAUUAUUAGAUUAUAACUUGUCAGGUCGUUGUCCCCUAAUUACAGAGCUGGAUUCUGUCCUCAUCAUCCCGCUCUGUCUAGUAGCUCUGGAUUUCCUUCCUUGGGGCAGACUUCUACUCUUUGGCUCCGCUCUGCUAAGUAGCUCCGCCUUUUGGCGAAUUGUCUCUGGCGUGUGGCUCCGCGCUCUGGCUCCAAUAGCUUAGCUCUGACUCUGGAUCUGGCGAUUUGGCUCUGGCUCUGACUCUAACGACUUAGCUCUGACUCUGGAUCUGGCGACUUGGCUCUGGCUCUGACUUUAAUGACUUAGCUCUGGCAUCUCUGCUCUGGCAACUUGGCUCUGGCCCUCUGCUCUGGAAGCUCUGCUCUGGUUAGCUCUGGCUCUGGCAGCUCUGCUCUGGCAGCUCUGCUCUGGAGCUCUGGCUCUGGCAUCUCUGCUCUGGCUAGCUCUGGCUCUGGCAUCUCUGCUCUGGCAACUUGGCUCUGGCCCUCUGCUCUGGUUAGCUCUGGCUCUGGAAGCUCUGCUCUGGCAACUCUGCUCUGGAAGCUUUGCUCUGCCAACUCUGCUCUGGUUAGCUCUGCUCUGGACUUUUUCCUCUGCCUAUUUCUCACAGCUUCUUUGCUCCCUGCUGCUCAUCUUUGGUAUUCCAAGCAAAGCCACGUGUCCUGAUCUUAGGACCUUGCAUAUUUCACCCCUCAUCAGAGUUGAUAAAUCAUAUUGCUUCCAUGCAAAUAUCACAACACGCUUGAUAGCAGAUGCCAAAAUUCUUUCCAAAAUUUGUUCUUUCUAAAAUAAUAAUCAUUCUAUAUUUAAAAUAGUGAAACACGUUAUUAAAUUAGGAAACUAAUUUAAUACUUACCAUAGGUGUGUAGGAAGAAUCACGGCAGAUCAGGAAAUGGAGGUAUCAAAACAGAGAAGUCGUCGGUGGGGUGGGGGUUGACGGCACGGUGGACGAACUCCAGGGCUCAGCGGUGACUCGGCGGCGGACGAACCGCAAGCUCAGCGGCGACUAUUUCGCCGGAGUCUAGAAGAAGGAACAGCAACGGGUUAUAGGAAAAAGAAAUCUUAGGGCUCUUGUAUUAAUUGCUUCGAAUGGAGAAUUCUCAUGGGUUUAAGAAGUGGAAACAGAAUCGAACUAAUUAAGGAAUGGAAGAGGGAGUCAGAGAUGAGGCGGAGCAACGCCGCCCUUAGGACGGCGGCGACGCCUGAAUUUAGAGGGAGAGAGAGGCGGGCAGUUUAAGGGGGGAAUUAGGGCUCGAUUUGAGUGUGCAAUCGACUUUAGAGAGAGAAAAGGAUUGAGAGAAGAGAGAGACAGUGAAGGGGGAGACGACGCCGACCGGAUUCAGGGACGGCGGCGAUGGGGUGAGGAAGAGGGAGGCGUGAGGAAGAGGGAGGCGUGACUUUUGUUUAAAAGUGAGAAUGAGAAUAUAUAGAUUGGAUUCUCAAAUGCCACGUUGGAGAUUGAGAUUGAAAAGAAAGAAUUUGAGGCCUGCCACGUAGGCUAAGGCCUAAUCGUAUUAUAGAAUAGAUAUUAUUAUUAUUAUUAUUAUUAUUAUUAUUAUUAUUAUUAUUAUUAUUAUUAUUAUUAUUAUUAUUAUUAUUAUUAUUAUUGUAGUAAUGGACGAACAGAAACAAAUAAAGUUUGCAGAAAUGAAAAAUAUAUUUUUCUUCCCUAUAUAAAUAAAAUGUAUGGAUUUAUUUUAUAAAAAAUAAAAAUAAAAUUUUAAUUAUUUUGAUAGACAUAAAAUAAGAUUUUGUUUUAAAGUAAUCAGUUUAUAGAAUUUGUGCCUUAUUAUGCAAACAUGUAAAUCAAUGACCGGACCCGUUUAUAAUUUACUAUAUACGUGCAUGUCUCAAUUACUAAACUUAAUUUAAAAUUAAUUUUAUUAGUAAAUAAGAAUAUAAAUAUUAUAUAUAUAUAUAUAUAUAUAUUCAUACAAUAUAAUAUAUUGCAACAUAUACAUAUAAUAUGUACGCUAUUGAGAAAUAUAAAAUUAAUAACAAAUAUACAUCUAAUCACUAACAUUCAAUUAAAAUAAUUUAUCGUAUAUAGAUUAUAAUUUUUUUCUUAUCAGACAUGUAAAUCUAAUUUUUAUCUAGAAAAAAUAAAUAAUAAAAUUUAUUAAUUUAGAUUAUAUGUAAUGUUAAUAUUAUUAUAUAUAUGUAUAUAUUUGUUAUUAAUUAUAUUUAUUAUGAUUAAUGAAUCUUUAUAUAGAAUGUAAUAGUUAAUUAAUUAAUAAAUGAUGAAGAUUAUAUAUGGUAAAUUUUGAAAUGGUGAGAUUUUAGAUAUGCCACAUAGGUUAAGACUUAAUCCUAUUAUAUAAUAGAUGGGUAAUGCACCCUUAGCGUCGGUCAACAUUUCAUUAAUCAAAAAAUAUGUUGUAUUUAAAAGACAACAAGUACGACGUUAUACUAAAAACAACAUUUCCUACUAGGCAUAUAAUAUAUGCGAGAUAUCAAUCGCUAGGGAAAAUGAUGGAAAAUGGAAUUCAAAUUAAAUCAAUCCAAAAGUAUCAACAUAGUUGCGCAUCAGAUUGUAUUCACCAAGUGAAUUUAUUUUAGUGGAAGUAAAACAUGGCGUUCUUCAAUAUCACAGGAACAACCUUUUCUCAGCCUCACACUUCACCACCAGCUGCUCAAUCUGCAAAAGGUUUUGAAAACAUUUGCAGAGCUGAAUACUAGUGUACUCAGUGGGUUGAGCCAUUUAAAAACAUUUUGAAAGCUAUUUACUGAAAAGAUAAUUCAUGAUUUAAUCAAUAUAACACAAAAUAAACGUGUCAUUCCAUGCAUACUAAAAAUAAUCUGAGCUCAUAUUUUCUUGGCUCAUCUAUUGGGCGCUAUCUACAACCAGUCGUCAUCGAUCUCUCGAGCCAACAAGUUCUGGUGUACGUACACAAUUCUGGUUAGCAGAGCUAACAAAGUUCUGAUUGGCGAAGCCAACAAUGUUAUGGUAGAAGCAAUAACCAAUAGAGAACAAAAACAUUUUAAGCAUGAACCAUCAACUUUAACAUUUCAUAAAAACAAGCUUAUUAGCUCAAACAUACAUUUCAUAAAUAAAGUCUUACUUGAUUGCUGAUAAUCCAAACAAUUAAACCGAGUUGAUCAGAAUCCUAAGUAUCCUCUUCUGUAAGUCCUACAAGAUAAGUUCUCAACUUAAGCUCGUAGUUCUAAAGUAAACCUUAACCUUAUUCAUAAUUCGUCAUCACUUUCUAACUAGAUUCGCAUUAUCCGAAUUUUCAAAAGAAUUCAACAUAAAACUUGAAAAUCAUUUUUUUUUUUUUUGCUACGGGCUUCAACAAUAUCUUUAUUUGACUUUUUAUUUAAAAACUCAACUUGAGCAUUAAAUCAACUGGAAAAUAUUUUUCUUACAAAAAUUUGUAAGACUUUAGUAUAUAAAUUAAAACAUGUAAUUAAAUAAUUAUAUGCAUACAAUAACACUUGUAGAAAAAUAAAUAAUGAGGAAUUUAAUUAAUUAAAUCACAAUCCAAAUUAACUUAAGUAAUUGGUUCAAUUAAUAAUUUAAAUGGGCAAAUCCAACAAAUAAAGAUGCAGCCCAAUUAUCUAAUUGAUAGCCCAAAGGCCCCAAACCAUGAGCCCAACUAAAAAUUAAUCCCAACUCAACUUAUAAGAACAAAAACGGCCCAGAAACUUUAGCCCAAUCCCUCUCUCUCUCUCUCUCCUCGUCUCUCUCUCUCUCUCUUCUUCUUCUNUCCACUACCUCUCUCUCUCUCUCUCCUCUUCGUUCUCUCUCUCUCUCUCCUUUCUUUCUUUCUGCAGAUGCACACCUCUCAUCAUCUGCCUCAUCUCUCCCUUCAAUCUACCACCGCCUACCCUCUUCUCGCCGUUGAUACGGCCACCACGACUACUCCCUCUUCUCGCUCUUCCUUUACCCCUUAAAAAUCACGAAAACCCCCAAAAAUCCCUAGCUUCUCUCUCCUCUUCGAUUUCCGGCGAGCUAGCCACCGCCUCCCUCCUUCAGCUGACAGCUACGGUCAGCCGGACCGUACCCAUCGCCGCCUCCCUCGUCUGACUCUCCAACUCAUCGCCGCCCCGCCCCUUUCCUUGACAGACGAACGGCCGCAGGCAUCGGCUACCACCGGUGGACCUCAAGGGCCGAGGCCGCCGAACAGACCCGCCGUCCAGCCGCCUCCCCUUUCUCUCUCUAUUUCUGGCAGACGGCCAGCAGGAGCAUCGGCCGCUGCCGCUGCCGCUGCCGCUGCCGCUGCCGCCGCCGAUCCUCCCUCCUAAUCUUCACCCCUCUCUCUCGGCGAGAAGCCGCCGCCAUCCAUCGGCGUCGCGGCCACAACGCCGCUGCCGACAGCAGCAGCAAAGCCGCUGAAAGCCUGCCUCCUCUGUUCUCCCUCGACCCCAACCUGCCCGACUCGCAACAACAACAACAGCUUCUAAAACUCACGCACACAGCAGCAGCACACACACACACAAAAAUAGCUUCUUUUGUUACAUCAAUUAAUUAGCUCAAUUGCAGAAAAAUGCAUCUGUCUACAUAAAUGUGGAUAUAUUAUAUAUAUAUAUAUAAUAUAUUCUCAAAGUCAAAUUGUCAUCCGUUGCAUUAUGUCUCAAGGUCCUCUGCAAAAAAAAAUGAUGGUUCUUGAAGUAGAUUAUUGAUUAUUGAAUGGAUGUGUGAGUUGGUUUACCUCUUGUGAAAUAAAUUGAUUUCUCCAGAUUAUGGGUGGGAGUGGGUUGCUGUAAAUUGAUGUUUGUGAUGGUAUUCGACUUUGCAAGAAAUUCUGAAGGGAUUGCGAAAGUUGUUCUUCAAAUUGGAAAUGAAGAAAAUAAGCUGGGAUUUGAUGGCAAGAGAAUUGCGUCUGUUAUAACAUUGCUGGAAAAUUGUGAAGAAGUUUCAUAGUGAAAUCGAAUUGGAGUAAGAUCUGUGAGGGUGAUUAGAAACGAUGAUGAAUCAUCUUGAAAUAGGAGGAAAAUGGGGAAGUGGAUGCACUCUCCAACCAAUAAUUAAAUCAGUAAAAAUGAAAAUAUCUGGAAUAGUAGUAAUACAAUUGGGCAUCUGAAUUAGGAAUCUGGCCCACAUAAAAGAACUUGAUUCAGGGUGAUUCUAUUUAUAGCUCUCAUUUUACUCUUCAUAGCCUCCUAUUUAAUUAAUAAUUAAAAAUAUUUAAAAUUUUACUAAUUUAUCUUAUAAUUUCAUAGCCCCAAAUUAAAUUAAUUUACUUGAAAAAAUCCGAGUAGUUUUAGGUCGCAUCUUUUCAACAGUAGUGGCACUGCAAUCAAUGCAAAAUUUGGUAAAAAUGCAUCCAUCACCAGUAGCGGCACUGCGAUUGAGAUCCAGAAUUUUCUUGGCGAAUGUCACUAUAUUUGGGAACAACGAGCCCAAGCUUGCUUUGGAAAAAAUGUGGUGUGUCGGCUACGGGAUUGAGUUUAUCACAUACUUUGCAAUCCUAUCCCUAUGAUCAUAUUUGCUAUAGUGGUUUAAUUCUAUGAUUAUGCUUGCAGUAUUGGAGAUUUUCAAGAUUAAUACUAUGAUGCUAUCCGAGCCUUCAAGUAAAUGGCCCUAAAAAAGUCACAGAGUAGCCAUCAGAGGAGGGGUUGGAUUGUUCAAGUAAACGGCUCUUCUUGUGGUUCUUCUAGUUGAUUGUUGUUGUUGGAAGGACUCCCGCGGCGGUGAAGUUGAGGGUUGGUGUAGGGUGAAUAAAUUCAAUUUAGGGGCUAUGAAGCAUAGGGCAAAGUAGUAAAAUUUUAAUUAUUUUUAAUUAAUAAUUAAAUAGGGAGUUAUAAAGAGUAAAAUAAAGGCUAUGAAUAGAAUCACCCCUUCAUUUAUACCUUAAUUAAGUAAGGCCCAUAGAUUGAAUUUGAUUUAAAUAAAAUUUUAAGUCCAAUUCAAAACUCCAAUAAAAUCAUAAAUCUUUGAGUCAUCUCAUAAAAAUGAUUGCUUAUACACCAUAGUAGCAUAUAAUAAAAUUUAACUCAAAUGUCAAUCAUAAAUAUCAAAGAUAAAUUUGUAUUAAAACUUUAAUUAAUAAUUGUUGGAAUUUUUUUUUCUCUGGGGUGCGAAUUGACUUAAUGCUAAACUCAAUUAUUCUAAAAUUCUAAUAAGAAAAAUUCAGGGUAUUACAUAUAUACUAUCUUGUUCAACAGUUUAUAUGUCUUAUUCAUUACCAGUUUUUUAAAUUUCGUUAUUCAUCAGUAUAUACUGUCUUGUGGCCCUUGUGCAUCAAUAUAUAUGUCUUAUUCAUUGUACUCAGUGUCUCACAAAAAAUAGGGAGUCUCAUUGGAGCGCGCCCCUAGAUAGAGAAUGAAGAUCAAAUCAAGGUCAUUCAUUGAAUCUCAAUUAACGAUCAAGAUUGCAUCCGAAUUUAAUUUUUCAUGUAAUUAAAAAUUGGUAAUUAGCAUUUAUUUAAUCGAAAAAGGGUCAAAUGUGUAAAAAACAAAUUGACCGAAUUCAUCACGUUAAACAAAUCCCGAAAAGUCAUCCCUCCCCAUUCUGGGACCUGAUCUAUUUCGACGAACAUAUCGAUGAACAUUAAUAUGUUCANUGUUUUUCAUCAGUAUAUACAUCUUGUUCAUUAAUAUUAUAUGUCUUAUUCAUUGUCCUCAUGUUACACGAAAAAUAGGGGAUUUCAUUGGAGCGCGCCCCUCUCUCUAUAUAUAUAUAUAUAUAUAUAUAUUGUGUGUGUGUUAAAUGUGAUAGGUGAAAAAGUGAAAAGGUGUAAAAAGAGAAAAACUUUUUCUAUAUAAAGAAAAAUGCUCAAGUUUUGUGAGACGAUUCGAAAUAUUGUUCAAGCUUUGCGAGACAGAUAAGUAUUAAUUAAAAUUAAAAUAACCAUCAAAUCGAUUAUGACUUGUAAUAUCCGAAGAUGGGCUGAGAGCUCCAUUUUUUGGGAGGUACUUGUACCAUUAAAUGUGCUGAUUGUGAUUUUACUUCUGUAUCAUUAAUUAAGCUAAUUUGCAAAACUUCAAUUAUGGAUUAAAGUUGUCUGUUGAAGUAUACAAUUAAAUUAAUUUCGUGCAAUUAAUUUCCAUACUAUAGCUAGCUAGCUAGGCAAACAGAAAGCCUAUAAUAACUAAUAAGACUAUUAGUUAAUACAGUAUUUACUUUAUAAAACAGAAAAGCCUAUAAUUAGACUAUUAAUUAAUCUAACUCUAUGAAAAAGCAUCAUAAAAAAAAAUUAAAGACCAUUAACCACUAAAGAUAUAUAUUGCCAAUUCUGAUAGAAUAAGAUUUUCUUUUCUUUUUUUAAAUAGUAAUAACAAUCUCUCACUUUGGAUGUAUACCAAAUUAAUAAUGCUAUUAAUAUUAAACACCAAUCUUUUCGUACUGAUUUUUGUAUCGUAGAAAAAGAAAAAUAUCUUUAUUUUGAAAAUUAAUUUCAUUCUAUCAUAUUUUAUGAGAAUGUAAACAUAUUUGAAUUCAAUAGAAAACAAACUCGUGAAGUGUCUUUAAAACUAAAUUUUCAAACUGCUAAAAUCUAGCUAGACAAAAGGAGAAAAAAUAUUAAAAAAUGCAAAGUGACGAAAACACCAAAAAAUGGGAUACUGGAUCUCAAGUGGCAUCCGUUACUGCUAUAGUUUUGUAAAUACUAGAUGCAUAAAAUUGGAUUUUAUUUAUUAAUCGCUUAGCAACAUAAAUUAACAUGCAUGUGUAUGGUAAAUACAAUGAGAUGAAUGAAAUAUAGAAUAUUAAUGAUGCAAGUAUAUAUGGGGUGGGGUGAGAGAUAGAAUAGAAUUACCAAUGAAAUCUGCAGGCGUUUUGCCGUUGCCGAAUCUGCCGGUGGGAAGGGGUUGGUUGAGAUCUUUGCCGUAGGGCGGGAAAUUGCACUUGACGAGCGUCUUCAACAUAUUGUUGUUUCCUUGAUCAACGAUCGAAUCCCCGAACGCCAUAACUGCCGGAACUGUUACGUUUGCCGGCAGCUUUACACCACAACUUACCUUUACAUGCACCAUUACUCCAACCCAAAUCCACCACCAUGAAUCCUUUCUCAUCAUCUUCAAAACCUCUACUUAAUUUUCUUUUUUGACAACCUACCUAUGUGUGUGUGUGGAGAUUUAUCACUCUUUACACUUGUGUAGUUUGUGUGUGUAUAUAUAUGGUUGAUAAGAAGUGAUAGUCAUGCAAUUAAUUAUGUAAAUCAAAUCCAUGGAAUUAAAAUAAUAUGACCACAUAUUUAGCAGUAUUUUUUUUGUUAGGGAAUCAUAUAUACCUUAAUUAUGACACAAAAAUGAAUUGCAAAUACAGUAUAUUGUUGGACGACUUUCAAUGCUCUUUUAAAGUCCGUGCCUUUUCCUUACCUUGAUAUUUAUACAAAUUGUAUUAUUUGUCCGUUAAACAUAGAGUAGAUUCCUAUCAUUUUCUCAUAUAUAGUGGUUUUUGGACAUUUGAAUUUUAAAUCUUAUAAAAAGUUAUUCCAUCGAUGAUUUUUUUUUUAAAUAUAUAUAUAUGGAGACAUAUAUAAUUUUAAGAAUGACUAGUAAUCAAUGAUAAUUGAUUUUUUGUUUUUUGAGUUAUCAUAUAUUGUCAUACACCAGCGCAGGUUCAGCUUGCCCAUGAAGAGAAUGUGACGCAUGCCUUGGAAAUAAUUUAGAUAUAUACAUAUACUUAUGUGCAUAUAUAUGAUAGGCAAAAAUUUAUGUAUAUUCGAAUGUACUGUGAACUCACUUUAAUUAAAACUCGUCCUCAAAUUAGGAUUAUCAAUCUUCAAUUAGAAUUUAUCAAUCUCUAUUUAAAAUAUUUAAUCAUAAUUAGAAUUAGAUAUAUUGUACAUGUGCAUCUGAAUGUACUGGAGUGUAUANNNNNNNNNNNNNNNNNNNNNNNNNNNNNNNNNNNNNNNNNNNNNNNNNNNNNNNNNNNNNNNNNNNNNNNNNNNNNNNNNNNNNNNNNNNNNNNNNNNNNNNNNACUAAUAAUAUAUUUAUAUGUAGUAGUAUAGUAUAUAUAUAUAUAUAUAUAUAUAUAUAUAUAUAUAUAUAUAUAUAUAUAUAUAUAGGGGAGAGGUUCAAAUAAGAACCACUAAUAAAAUAAGAACGGAGAACCAUUUUAAGCCAUUCGAUCAUCAAGAUCUACGGUGGAUGCAUCAUCUUGGUGGAUGGAUGCAGGUGCUGGGUUCGAAUCCUGAAGGAGCAAAAAAAUUUAUUUUUUUCGGAUGCAUUAAAUUUAAUAGCGGAUGCAUUAAUUUGUAUAGCAGAUGCAGUAAUUUUAUUGGUUCUUAUGUUCUCACGAUAAUUGUGGUUCUCACUAUAACCGCACCCUAUAUAUAUAUAUAUAUAUGAUAUAACUUGGUAUAUUAAAUAUAUAGUUUUUAUAUAUGAGUAUAUGAUCGUUACUAGUGGUACCAUGGUCUUAUAUAUAGCUUAAUUUAAUUUUCCGGCUAUGUAUGUAUAUACACACACAUAUAUAAUUGGGGGUUUAGUUUACUAUUGUACAUACAUACAUAUAUACAUAUAUAUUUAUCCUAUAUAUAUAUGUGUGUGUGGUUAUAUUUAUUAAAUGAAUGGUAGAGAAGAAUAAGAUUUUUUUUUUUAUGUAUACGUGUUUUCUUGGUUUCCACUGGUACACAAGUUAGGUGUAUAAAAUUUAAUUCUGUGUGACAAUUCCCGUAAGGAUAGCCAUGCAUAAAAUUAUCACUAUUUCACGAGAAAUUUUAUUUAUUUGGUUUGAUGAUGAUGACUAUUAUAAUUAUUAUUAUUGACAAAUUUACAACAAUUAUUAAAAGUUGCCGGGCCGGUGUUCUCCAUUCGAUUAAAACAUACUAGAUGGAAAGCUAAUGUUGUUAUUCAUAGACUAAUUAAAUGUUUUUAAAAACAAUCUUAGCUAGGAUGAACUUUCGAAGGUCUUCUUCAAAUUCCAUGAGUUGGUAAUCAAUAAGAAGGUAUUCUGUUUCCCUUAAAAAAUGUUACAACAUCAAUUAGUUCUCCUAAAUUUGGAUAAGAGUUUUUUCAGAUGGGGCUCUCGUCUUGUCUAAUGGCUUAAAAAGUGUCAAAAUGACAAUAUUACCAUCCCAACUAUACCAAUGUUUAACGAUAUUCUAAAAAUGUCCUAAUAGUUGAAGUGUAAAAUUUUGGUACCUAAUGUUUAAAUAUUAAUUGUCUUUGAGGAGACAUUCAAGUGGAAUGAACUCUCGUACGUGAAUAAUGAGAUUUAGGGUUCAAAUUUCACCGCUCUCCAUUUUAAGUAAAAAAAAAAUUGUUUAAAUAUUAAUUUUUAAACGAUAUUUAAUUAUUUUAUCUUACAAUCAUUCGUGUAUGUGCACAACAAAAAAAAAAUGCAGUUAACGACGAAAAAAUCGUUGUUAAAAAUAGUUAACGACGAAUCCAUUAUGUCGUUAUUUCUUUCGUGGCAAACUUAAUUAAUAACGAAAAAUUUCGUCGUUUUCGACGUCUUACUUUUUAUUAUUUUUAUUAUUUUAUUUUAAAUUUAUAUUUUAUUAAUUUCAAUUACAAGGGUUUUAUUUUAAAUUUUUCUAAUGCAUUUUGUACUCAAUCGUAAACACUUUGGUAGACUUGGGUCACUUUCGUAGUGUUCUAAGCACGAUUAACCUUGAAGUUUCUUUCGAGUAGUUACCAGUAUAGAAGAUGCAAAUUAUUGAUAUAUUAGCACCUAUCAAUUCAUUUAAACUUUCUUUCAAUGUACAAUUUCAUUCAUGCAUACCCUUAAAAUAUAUGGAGAUGGAUAUCUAAAACUUGUGAAGCUGACAGAAGAGUGACGACAAGAAUAACUAUCGAUUUUAAAAUAAUAAAAAUUUAAUAUUAUAGUUUUAAUAAUUUUAAGAAAUUAUCAUCGAUUUUAAAAUAUAAAUACCGAUAAAAUUUAAUAAAAAUAAAAUUAAUUUUAAAUUUAAUUAUUAAUUAACAAUAAAUUAACGACGAAAUUUAUAAUUUAUGUUUUUAAGAUGAAUGGUCAAAUACUAAGUUUCAUUGCUCAAUAUGACUAUCUCAAAAGUUGGCUAUAAAAAUAUAAAGUGCGAAGAUUCUAUAAAUUGGUUUUAGCUUUUCCUUUUUUUUUUUUUUAUAUGUGGAACGCUACGUGUGGGGAUCAACAUGGAUACAUUCUAAUCUCCAAAUAUUUUACCGAGAUAAAUUAUUCAGUUCAAGAAAAAGAAAAUCAAAUUAUGAAUUUAGGUGUGAAACACUUCAAAAUCUUCAAUUCAGAUAGUAGAUAAAUAAGUAAUUUGAUUAUUCUGAAAAUCCACAUUUCAUCAAGAUGUUGGCACUUGGCACUUGGCUGGGUUGCUCCGGAAUGAUCAAUUUUGGCAAAUACAGCCGAGUUUGGUGAGCUGCCACCAUUUCAGCCACUUUAUUUUUUUUAAUUAUAGAAAGAUGGAGAUUUAAGUAUAUUUGAUUGAUGAUUUGAGCGGAAUUUAUUGUUUAUGGAAAUAACAAAAAGUUUGAAAUAUUAGAAUUUGGUACCUGAAAUAUUGACCUUCUAAUGGAAUCGUUCUGAACUAUAUAUAUUUAACAAAAAACAAUUGACGAUUUAACAAAAAUAUCACAAGUGUCCGAAAUAGCACAAAGCUAAUAAACAUUUCUCAAAAUUCAAUUUUUGAUCAGGACAAAAUUAUGUGGCUCCUUAGGAGUUGACGUGAAUUUUUAACAAAAAUAUGUUGAUAACAGGCUAGCGCCAAAGCAACUACUAAAAAUAUCACAAGUAUCCUACACUCGUUCAAUAGUGUCAAAAAGUGGUCAUUUAGCUAUUUGAUAAAUAUACACGUAGGAGAACAUUGAGAUUCCUCAUAUAUGGUGAGAUCUUAAAUUUAUUUAUAAGCAUUGAUUUAAUGUAUCAUAUGACUAAUAUUUAAUUGAGGGGAUUUUUUUUUUCCUAAGUUCGAAUCCUGAAGUAUUAGAAAUAACUCUUUUCUUUAUUUUCUGUGAUAGCUUAUAGCUAGCAGCAGCCUGUUAGAUUAGUUAGUUAGAGCUAAAGACGCGGCGGUCGGUUAUAACCGAAACCUCAUUUAGCUUAAACUCUUGUAUUCUGCUCUAUAUUAAGAGCUUGAAAUCUGGAAUGAGAAAAAUGCUUUUCCUAUUAUUUUCUUAACAUGGUAUCGAGCUGCUGAAUUUUUUCUCUCGAUCCAAGCUUCCGCAAAAAUCUUUCCUCUUCACCUUUUUCAUUCCAAAUAUGACUUCUUCCGCACAAAAUCACUCAUCUCUACCACAAAUGCAUCCAAUCAGCCUCAAAUUGGAUCGCACAAAUUAUAGUUUCUGGAAAUUUCAAGUGCUUGCUACUGCGUGAGCCUAUGGAUUUGAAGAUAUAUUACUUCAAACUGAAUCUCCAUCACAACAUCUGGAGUCUACAUCUGCAGAAACAACUGCAAAUCCGUAGUACAUUGUGCGGCUACGUCGAGAUCAAUUCAUGUUCAGCUGGUUGCCUUCAUCGAUUUCUCCUCAAAUGUUGGGAUACAUUGGACGCUGCACAACAGCUGCUAAGAUCUGGUAUGCGUUCGAGACUUUGUUUCAUUCUCAAUCGAAAGCUCGAGCAAUGCAACUCCGCAACUAAAUUCAACUCAUGAAGAAAGGUGAUGCCAUGAUCGAUUAAUAUAUCCUUAAGUUCAGAGAAAUCUCUGAUCAACUCUUCAAUAUAAGAAAACCUAUAUCUGAAUCAGAUCUUAUAUCUUACAUUCUUCAAGGUCUAGGAGCUGAAUUUGAGAGUAUAAGUGUGUCACGCUCCUCCAUAUAUAAUGAAAUGACACUACAUGAAGUGCACUUUGCUCGUCAAACUCAUGAACUUCAAUUACAAAAUCAAGCUUCUAUGCUAACUGCUACUGUCAAUUCAGUGUUUCAACCACAGGCAAAUGUUGCUUAUCAGCAAAAUUUUGGUGGUCGUGGUUGUAAAUCCGGUAGAGGAUCAAGAAAUCGUGGAAGGGGAGGAUGAAGGUUCAAUUCCAACAACAAACCAAUCUGUCAACUUUGUGGUAAAACUAAUUAUGUAGCAUUGAAAUAUUACAAACGGUUUGAUGUGAGCUUCACUAGACCAGAGCCACUUCCUCCUCAAAAUUCUAACCUCAAGCCUAUAAUACAUCUGUUGAUCCUCUCACUAACGACUACUUGCAGCAAUCUUCUGUUUCUCAGGUUCCUAAAACCACCAACAACACCUCUUCUCCAUCUGCCUUAACUAUAGCAUCUGCAACAUCUCAAUCUGCCUCGGAUUGGUAUCUGGAUUCAGGAGCAUCUGCACAUGUAACUCCUAAUCUGGACAAGAUCUAACACCAAUCUCCAUAUCAUGGAAAUGAAUCAGUUACAGUAGGUAAUGGUUCAAAACUUCCAAUUACUCAUAUUGGUUCUACUAUGUUACCCUGUCUUUCUUUAUCCAAAUCUCUCACACUCAACAAUAUUCUGUUUGUUCCUCACAUCAUUAAGAGUUUACUAAGUAUCUCUCAGUUCACUUCAGAAAAUAGUGUUUAUCUAGAAUUUCACUCACAUUGUUGUUUUGUCAAGGACAAUACAACACAUCAAACUCUACUAGAAGGCAGGCUUAGCAAUGGACUCUACCAUUUGAACCUCACCAAGCUCUCAAAGUCCACAAAACAAUGUCUGGUAGCUAAUUCAUCCUCCUCCGCUGUCAAGUUGUGGCAUGCUAGGUUAGGACACCCUUGUAAUAGUGUUCUGCUUUCAGCUUUUAAAGCCAUGAAACUGAAUGUAACUCUUUCUUCUUCUAGUUUCUGUGAACCUUGUGCAUUAGGCCAAAUACAUGCUGCAAAUUUCCCAUCUAUUGAAAUAAAAACAACUGCCCCUUUCCAAUUAAUACACUCUGAUGUUUGGGGACCGAGCUCAACUCUUUCAACUGAUGGAUACGAAUAAUAUGUUCAUUUCAUAGAUGACCACACUAGGUUCACAUGGAUCUUCCCCUUAACUGUCAAAUAUGAAGUUACAUCUGUGUUCAUCCAUGCCCUCAUACUCAUAAACAAAAUAGUAGAUCUGAAACAUGCAUAUUAUUGAAGUAGGACUUACACUCCUAACCACAACCUCACUUCCUCACAACUAUUGGUGGGAUGCAUUCACUACAGCAGUGUAUCUCAUCAAUUGAUUACCCACUCCUUCACUCAAAAAUUUCUCCCCAUAUCAGUCCUUAUUCAAAACUAAUCCUGACUAUAAUCUUCUCAAGACCUUUGGAUGUAGCUGCUGCCCUGUCUGUUUUUAGGUUAUAGUCCUAUGCACAAGGGUUACAGAUGUCUUCAUCCAUCAAGUAAGAUGUACAUUGCUGAAAAUGUCCUUUUCAAUGAGUCUGAAUAUCCCUAUACAACUCUUUUUCAACACACAUCUGUCAGCAACUCAUCUUCCUCUAGUGUAUCUGCUCCACCAGUAUCACUUCCUCUCUCUCUCUACUCUUUCCAACUCCACAUCUGGUACCUCAAACUCUUAUCCCUCUCAUCUAUCCACUAGCUCAGAUAAGUCAUCUUCCAGCUCUUAUCCAUCUCAUCUAUCCUCCAAUCCAAAUUCCCAAACACCUGCUCCAAAUUCCUCAUCCAACUCCAGCUCAUAUCCCUCUUAUCUAUCAUCUAGACCAAGCUCACCUGCUCUAAAUCAUCAAAGCUCCAAUCUAGCAUCUUCAUCUCUCUCACCACCACCUCAUCCUCCCAACUUAAACACACGUCACAUGGCCACUCGUUCAAAAUCUAGGAUUUAUAAGCCCAAAAUAUACAUAGCUACCUCUUAUAUCUCUCCAGCUAAAAUCUUUGCAUCUAGACUUCUUCGUAACUCUGGUACUAGUGGCUCUCACAUCAAAACUGACUCCACCACUACAAAAUUCACUAAACCACUCUCUGACUCUGAAGCAAUUGCUAAUCCUAUGUGGAAUAAAGCUAUGGCUACUGAGAUAGAAGCUAUUAAACUGAAAGAUACUUGGGAUAUCAUUCCACCCUCUCCAGAUUUGCAUAUCUCAUUGAUUGUAAAUGGGUUUAUAGAGUAAAGCUCUUUGCAGAUGACACACUUGAUAAGCUCAAGGCCAGGCUUGUGGCCAAGGGUUUUCAACAGUUAGCAGGGUUGGAUUUCUUGGAGACUUUAGUCCAGUAGUGAAGCCUGUUUCAGUCAGACUUCUUUUCUCUUUAGCUGCUCAGUUUAAGUGGGAUAUUCAACAUAUUAAUAUUAAUAAUGCAUUUCUUAAUGGUCACUUGGAUAGGCCAAUAUACAUGAAGCAGCCUCCUGGCUUUGAGGAUCCUGCACAUCCUGACUGGAUUUGUCGAUUGAAAAAGUCACUAUAUGGUCUUAAACAAGCUCCAAGGGUUUGGUAUGAACGGCUGAAAAAUCAUUUGCUCAGGUAUCGUUUCAAGUAUUCAGCAUCAGACCAUUCUUUUUUUUAUAUGAGAAAUGCAGGAAAACUGAUCUUAGUCCUAAUAUAUGUUGAUGAUAUUCUAAUUACUCGAGUUGAUGCUAGUCUUGUUCAUAGUCUUAUUCAGACUCUCUCACAUGAAUUUGCUCUUAAGAUGUUGGGCACCGUUAGCUUCUUCCUUGGUAUUCAGGUGGUAAAGAAAAAUCAUACAUUUUAUCUAUCUCAAACAAAGUACAUCAGAGAUCUUCUAGCCAAAACAAAUCUGAUGGAUAGCAAACCACAGUCUUCACCGUAUGAUCUGGGCAGUAAACUUCACAAAUCUGAUAGCCUAUCAUUCUCUGAUCCCACGUUUUAUCGCAGUGUUAUUGGGGCAUUACAAUAUCUCACCAUCACUCGGCCAGAUAUUUCAUUCAUGGUUAAUAAACUAAGUCGAUUUUUGCAUAAUCCAACUGAACUCCAGUGGAAGGCCUACAAACGACUUUUACGCUAUCUUAAAGGGACACUUCACUUCUCUCUUCGCUUCUCCUCUUCACCCUAUUCGCAUCUAAAAGCUUACUCUGAUGCUGAUUGGGCCGGAUCAAUAGAUGACAUAAAAUCCACUGGUGGUUAACUUGUGUUUUUGGGUUCUAAUCUGUUAUCUUGGAGCUCCAAGAAGCAAAGUGUUGUAUCUAGUAGCUCUACUGAAGUUGAGUAUCGUUCCUUAGCCGAUACAUCUAUGGAGUUGGUCUGGAUUCGUUCUCUUCUCACUGAAAUUAGUUAUAACAUUUCUCAUACUCUGGUUAUAUGGUGUGAUAACAGAAGUGCUACAGCCAUGGCGUCUAAUCCAGUGUUGCAUGCACGCACUAAACACAUCGAAAUUGAUGUGCACUUCGUUCGCGACAAGGUCCUUAAGAAAGAACUUGACGUUUGUCAUAUUGGAGCUGAAAAUCAACUUGCAGAUAUACUUACAAAACCUGUAACUGCAGUUCAUUUCAACAACAUUUGCUCUCUUUUACCGUUUGAAAAGGGUUACUCAUGGUUCAGUCGGGGUUGUGUUAGAAAUAACUCUUUUCUUUAUUUUCUGUUAUAGCUUAUAGCUAGCAGCAAUCUGUUAGAUUAGUUAGUUAGAGAUAAUGACGUGGCGGUCGGUUAUAAUCGAAAUUUCAUGUAACUUAAACUCUUGUAUUCUGCUCUAUAUUAAGAGCUUGAAUGAGAAAAAUGUUUUUCCUACUAUUUUCUUAACAUGGAGUGAGAUAAAAUUUUAUUAAUUUUCGAAUAUCAUUAUUCAACAUUAUAUACUGCAUUAUCUUUUCACAUAAUCUUAAAGUGAUCGAAAAUAAAAUUUUAGAAUAUUUUAUUAAUUUUAUAACAGCUCAAAUAUAUAAUUAUAAUUAUACAUAGUUUGAGAUAUUUUUGUUAAAAAGUCAAUAAUUCUAAUAUUAAACUGUAUGUAUUUUUUUCCAAACAAUAAAAUAAACCUCAAAUUCUGCAGUACCGAUAUUACGUUGGCUUUCGGGAAUUUUGCCGAAUAGUGAUUCUAGAAAAUUAGAAAUUAGUUCGGUUCUAUCAAAAAAUACAAAAUAAAAAUAAUAAUAANUGUCUCCGACUCAGCUGCUGCAACUGCAAAGAGAUAAGUCAAAGUGUAUAUAAUUUUCUAAAUGUGAUUAAGAAAAUUCCAUGAUGUGAGAAUAUCUGCUUGUACAUGUUGAACAAUAAAUUAAUAUUCAAUUAAUGUUGUAAUUUAUAAUUAAGGACGCUAGUUAUUUAUUAAAUAAAUAUACUAAUCAUUUCUUCGUUUUCUUUUUCAAAGGAAAUGAUGUGGUGGGCUUUCAAGCAAACGAUCAAAGGAAAUUCAAAAUGCGAAAAAUUAUUGUUGGUUAAUUUCUUAUUGCAUCGUAUCUGUGAUAAUACGAAGGGUUAAUUGUAUAUAAAUUAUUAAUUUUUUAAAUAUUUUUAUUUUGCACAUUAAUAUUAAAAUUAUUCAAUUAUUAAUUUUUUCUCAGUUUGUCAUCUUUCCAACUUAACUUAGUACUAAAGUGGGCGUAUGAAAUGAUGUUAUCUCGCCCAUUUUGCUAUCUCUACAGAUCAAUGUUGUUUAAGUAAUCCACGAAUUUGAAUACAUAAAAUUUCAAAUGGUCACUUCAAAACUAAAUUUGGCCAAAAAUUGGAAGAGAGAGCAAAAUAAGAAGAAAAUAAAAAUUGAAUAGUAUUAAUACAUAUUUAAAACUUUAGUGUGCAAAAUAAAAUUAUUUGAAAGUCUGAUACUAUAUGCAAUUAAUCCUAAUCCGAAAUGAAAUAAAAUCUCAACUGAUAAAAUGCUUAUCGUGCAAGUUGGAGUAACAAUUAUAUUCAACUAAUAAUUAAUUAAGUUGGAUAUUUUAGUAAUAUUUUUGUGACGUCACAACAAAUCAUUAUUUUGCGUGUAAGAAAAGGACUUACCUACAAAAUAAUUAUGUUAAACGUAUAGAUAAAUAAAAGAGUCCGGGGAUUUUUUAGGACAAUAACUUAUGUUGAUUUGAAAAUUAUGACAAAAACUUUCGGAUUUAUAAAAAUAUGACACUAUUUUUUUUUAGAGUAAAAUAGGACAAUAAUUAAUAAGCGUCGUAAAAAUAGGACAUUUCUCGGCCGAUAAUUGGCCGAAAAAUAUCCUGCGAAUGCAACACUUAUUAAUUAGUGUCCUAUUUUACUCUAAAAAAAAUUAGUGUCCUGUUUUUACAAGUUUGAAAGUUAUUUUCCUAAUAAUUUUCAAAUCAAUCUAAGUUACUGUCCUAAAAAACCCUCGAACUCAUAAAUAAAAUAUUGCAUGGUUUUAGAUAUACAUUCAAAUUAAUUAUUUAAUUAUAACAUUACCUUCCAAAUUAAUGCUAGCUAGUGCAUGGUGGUUGCCACAACUAUAUAUGUCUAAAGAGUUCGUUAAUUUGAUAUAUUCUAGGUUAGCAUUCAAUUUAAUUUCCCCAAUUAUAAAGUCCUUUUCACUUGGUCAAUUUAAUAUUGGGUGUGUUUUUUGAUGUAAUAAAAAGCUCAAAUAAACUGUAUAAAAUUUUACAACACUUGUUCCAUUGGCCAAGGUAUAUAUAAUUUUAUACCUAGGACUUUAAGAGAGGGUGUUAUAUACUUUAUAAAAGGUGAGACAAAUAUAUUAUUAUUUAAAAUAAUCAAAAUGUAAAUAAUAUAAUUUCACUUUAAAUGAUAAAUUUAUACCUUAUUAUAUUAUCCGUUUAUUCAAAGGGAUAAAAUCCAACAUAAUAAAAGGAAAAAAGAAUUGAAAAAUUCACACAUUAUGUGUGAAUUCGCUUUCUAUAUAUAUUUACUUUCGGAUUGAAGUUAUGGUAACUGAAUGGAUAUCUCGAGUUUUAUUUAUAAAUUAAAACAAGUUUGAUCUCAUAAUAGUAUAAUUAAUAUUCUCUCUGUCCCACUUAUCUUGGCACAUUUGCUUUGGGCACGAAGAUUACAAUGUGAAAUACGAACUAGUUAAAAUGUAUGAAUUCUAUAUAGAACAUGUAUGAAUUCGCUGUGUAAAUGUAUAAAUUGCGAAAAAUAUUUUUUUCGCUAUCUAUGGGAGUCAAACUCUGAACCAUGAAUUCAUCCAACAAGGUGAUGAAUCAACAAUAGAUCUUGAUGAUCUAAGGACUGAAAAUAGUUUUUAUUUUNGUUCAGGACCAAAAGACUACAUACCUCACUACAAGAAAUUCACAGGACACCGAUGGAUUUAAUGACGUAAUGCAUUCCGUCUCUAUUCUACGACGGACAGGCGAUAACAUACCGAUGGAAAAUGAGCUAAAGAUCUACCUAUGAAUUUACCGAUGGAAUUUACGACGGACGUGGCGCCAAAAAAUCCCGAGAAUUCAACGAUGGAAAUAACAACGAAAGGACUAUAUAUGUCGGUUAUUUAACUCUAUAAAUUAUUAUAUCUUAAAUUUAAAAUAAAUAACGACGAAAUACUUCUGUUAUCUUUUGAAUAAUUCUGUUAUGACUAGAACACUUGAAGAACUUAUGUUAUGUUAUUAAUAUUUGAAUGUUAGUUUUGAAAUUAUAUUAAAUUUUAUUGAUUUGGUGUUUAGCAACAUUGAUGUAUUGGUAAUAUAUAUAAAUGCAUAAAAUUGUAUAACAGGUUGUCAAUAACUGGGUAUAUCAAAAUUAUAAUAAAAAAAUAUAUACUUUUUUUAUUUUUUAAAAAUAGCGACGAAUUUCCAUUAUGUCGAUAAAUUAUGCCUAGAAAAUAACGACGGAGUUUAGAUUUCGUCGUUAAAACUACGCACGGAAUCAGCGACGGACUACUGAUUCUGUCGUUAAAAUGAGUCAUGAACUUACCAAACAGAAUUGUAUUCCGUCGCCAGUACUGACGAAAUAUUCUAUCGCUAUUCGUUGCUAUUUUCGAGACGACGCCGGUGUCGUCAAGUGGUCUCCGACGGCCGCUCCGUCGCCGCCGCCGUUGGUAAAUCACCGACGACAUUGAAUUUUUGCCGGUAACCAACUACUUACAGGGAGACACACGGCCGUUGUCGGUGUUCCAUCGGUAACCACAAACAUCGACAAAAAAUUGGUCAUUACCGAUAAAAAAUUUCGUCGGUAAUCAGCCAAUUUGUUGUAGUGCAUGUCGUCUCAAUGUGUCAUAUUAUGAUUUUCACUUAGUUAAUAACAAUUCAUUAGUAUAUCUUUUCUUCACAAUAAAAGAUUAUAAAAUAGUUUAAUUAUAAAAUUUAUUUAGCCUUUUAUAAAAUUUAUUUAGCCUUUCGUUAUACUUCCGUGCCAUCUAUAUAAUAGAUUUUGAGGUAGGUACUUUUUUUUUGAGAAGGAAGACGAGAAAUUUUAUUACGAAAAGUCUUCUGAAACAAUGUCAUUAAACUAGCUAGAAAAAUUAGCGGUCCAACACACUGUCGUGAAUAGCUAUAUGUAAAUUGCGCUAAAUUAUAUACCAUUUUAUUUUAUUGACUUCUUGAUGCACAUGAUGAACACACUCAAUAGAACACACGAGCGAGCCACAAUAAUCGCCUUCAACACAUUCUUGUAGCAAGUAUACUUCUUAAAGAUCUUUCUAAUAUGUCGCUAGUACAUGUUUUAUAUUUAUUUUGACAAGAUACUAUUAUAUACAUGUAUUUUUUUUUUCUAAUAAUACCAUAAUACAUGUUGCAUGAUUAAAAAAUCAAAUCAGCAUUACAUUAUUCUACAUAUAUAACGACAUUAAUUGAUAUAUUAUCAACAUAUAUAAUAUUUUCUAAAAAAAAUAAAAUAAAUAAAUAAAUCCUAUAUAACAUUGAUUGAUAUAUUAUCAACAUAUAUAAUAUUUUCUCAAAAAAAAAAAAAACAACGUAUAUAAUAAAUCAGAUACUGUGUAUAGUAACAGUUAGUAGAUGCAACGAGGUAAAUGUUACUCCGUAUGUACUAUUUAGUUCUCAUAGUUUUGUAUUAGUAAUAUUUAGUGAAAAUAAUAUAAUAUAGUAUUAUAUCAAUAAUUCAUGAAAUAUAAUAAUGAGUGGAGAAUGUCAUAUAAUUAUUUAAUAAUAUUAGUUACAUAUAUAAUAUACAUUGGCAUAUGGGGUGUUGGCAUAAGAGAUAUCCACAAUCUUAUCUAUUAGUAUUAAAUCAAUAAAUUCUUAAUCGUAACUUGUCGGCGAUCAUGUGGACUCCGUAAUAGACAUGUCCAGCCGUCGUUACCAAAGUACAAUUUGAUGCAUUUGGGUAAUUACUUAAUGAGUUGGAGGCGAAUUUGGAUAGUAAAUUAAAGGGCAGAUAGCGUCAAAAUCCCUAUACUUUCCCCGUUUUCGCAUAUUUCCCUUGACUUUAAAAAUUCGCGAUAGAAUCCUUGACCGUUGAUUAAUUUCGUAAUUUUCCCUUAAUAAAGUUUCCGGCGAGUAACUACAAUGACGUGUCAUUUAUGUAUUGCUGAGUCAUCUAACUAAAUUUGCUUAGUCACGUAAAUCAGCCAAAAACGUCGUCGUUUUCCCGGUUACUAAGCUGCCGCUGUCUAAAUCCGCCGGUUUGACUCCCUAGAUAGGAGCUGAUGAUGGANUUGAAACACAUUAUAACAUGUUUUUCGUAUAAAUACAAUAUCGGUUCAGGACCAAAAGACUACAUACCUCACUACAAGAAAAUUCACAGGACACCGAUGGAUUUAAUGACGUAAUGCAUUCCGUCUCUAUUCUACGACGGACAGGCGAUAACAUACCGAUGGAAAAUGAGCUAAAGAUCUACCUAUGAAUUUACCGAUGGAAUUUACGACGGACGUGGCGCCAAAAAAUCCCGAGAAUUCAACGAUGGAAAUAACAACGAAAGGACUAUAUAUGUCGGUUAUUUAACUCUAUAAAUUAUUAUAUCUUAAAUUUAAAAUAAAUAACGACGAAAUACUUCUGUUAUCUUUUGAAUAAUUCUGUUAUGACUAGAACACUUGAAGAACUUAUGUUAUGUUAUUAAUAUUUGAAUGUUAGUUUUGAAAUUAUAUUAAAUUUUAUUGAUUUGGUGUUUAGCAACAUUGAUGUAUUGGUAAUAUAUAUAAAUGCAUAAAAUUGUAUAACAGGUUGUCAAUAACUGGGUAUAUCAAAAUUAUAAUAAAAAAAUAUAUACUUUUUUUAUUUUUUAAAAAUAGCGACGAAUUUCCAUUAUGUCGAUAAAUUAUGCCUAGAAAAUAACGACGGAGUUUAGAUUUCGUCGUUAAAACUACGCACGGAAUCAGCGACGGACUACUGAUUCUGUCGUUAAAAUGAGUCAUGAACUUACCAAACAGAAUUGUAUUCCGUCGCCAGUACUGACGAAAUAUUCUAUCGCUAUUCGUUGCUAUUUUCGAGACGACGCCGGUGUCGUCAAGUGGUCUCCGACGGCCGCUCCGUCGCCGCCGCCGUUGGUAAAUCACCGACGACAUUGAAUUUUUGCCGGUAACCAACUACUUACAGGGAGACACACGGCCGUUGUCGGUGUUCCAUCGGUAACCACAAACAUCGACAAAAAAUUGGUCAUUACCGAUAAAAAAUUUCGUCGGUAAUCAGCCAAUUUGUUGUAGUGCAUGUCGUCUCAAUGUGUCAUAUUAUGAUUUUCACUUAGUUAAUAACAAUUCAUUAGUAUAUCUUUUCUUCACAAUAAAAGAUUAUAAAAUAGUUUAAUUAUAAAAUUUAUUUAGCCUUUUAUAAAAUUUAUUUAGCCUUUCGUUAUACUUCCGUGCCAUCUAUAUAAUAGAUUUUGAGGUAGGUACUUUUUUUUGAGAAGGAAGACGAGAAAUUUUAUUACGAAAAGUCUUCUGAAACAAUGUCAUUAAACUAGCUAGAAAAAUUAGCGGUCCAACACACUGUCGUGAAUAGCUAUAGGUAAAUUGCGCUAAAUUAUAUACCAUUUUAUUGACUUCUAUUUUGAGGUAGGUACUUUUUUUUUUGAGAAGGAAGACGAGAAAUUUUAUUACGAAAAGUCUUCUGAAACAAUGUCAUUAAACUAGCUAGAAAAAUUAGCGGUCCAACACACUGUCGUGAAUAGCUAUAUGUAAAUUGCGCUAAAUUAUAUACCAUUUUAUUUGUACUUCUAUUUUGAGGUAGGUACUUUUUUUUUGAGAGGAAGACGAGAAAUUUUAUUACGAAAAGUCUUACUGAAACAAUUUCAUUAAACCUAGACUAAGNCCACUUUAUGAGAUGUGUGGUUGAGAUUGAAUUUGAGGUGGGUUUUUUGUAAAUAAAGAGUGUUUGUAAGGAUAAAAUAUAAAGGUGGAUGGUGGGACCAUGGCUUAAAAAGGAAAGUGGAAUACUUUUUGCGGACGCCAAAUAUAGUAAUUGUGGAAUACUUUUGGCGGACGGAGGGAGUAUUCAUUAACAAUUUUUUAAAUUUUGUUUUUCACCAGUAUAUACAUCUUGUUCGUUAGGUAUAAGUUUUGUUCAUUAGUAUUAUAUGUCUUAUUCAUUGUCCUAGUGUUUCACUAAAAAUAGGGGGUCUCACUGGAGCGCGCCCCUAUAUAUAUAUAUAUAUAUUCCACGUCGGUGUUAUGUGUAAAAUUAAAUGCACAUCACUGCUAUGUCAUUUUUCCGGUCAUCGAAAAAGAAAAUCGUGGAAAAAUUGAACAAACGUCAAAGUAUUUGACAAAAAAUAGAAUUUUUAAAGAUCAUGGGAAAAAUGAAUUUUGGAUCAAGUUCGUGAUAUUAUAUGCAAUUAACCCUUUUAUUAAUAACCUGGACUAUAUGAUUAAACAAUAAAACUAAAUUAAAGGCUUGAAUAUUAAUGGGUUGGGUUAUCAUUUCGACUUAGGACAUCUAGUCCCCUUCAUUAAUUAAAUAGUAAUUAAUGUAAUUAAAUCCAUAAUUUAAGACAGUAAAUCCAUAAUUUAAGAUAAUAAAUCUAAUUAGUAAAUUAAUUCUAUCUAGCCUAAACUAAUUUAAUUUAUCAAGACCCACAUUAAAUGAAAGGUUAUUGAGCCCACAUAAAUAAAAGUAGACCAACAAACUAAAUAUAUAGUAAAAUUGGCAAAAUGAUGAAGCCCAAAACAUUGGUCAACCUAAUUCUCGAUUUCUCUGAUUUGUUUUCUCUCUCGGAUUUAAAACUCACACACCCACACCCACACCUACUCUCUCUCUCUCUCCUCGCUGUCCGUCCCCUUGCUCUCUCUGUCGCUGAUAGCACAUACACGAUCGAGGGGCGGAUACCUAAAAUUUCUUGAUAGGGAGGGAGGCUAAACUAGAACGUAUGCGACGGGGGUUCUGGGGCGGCACGCCCUCGAGCCAAAAUUUUCCGAUAAUUCAUAUAGUUUAAUUUUAUAUUCAAGUAGAAUCUUAAUGGACUUAGAAUUAGAAUUCGAUCACCGAUUAUAAUAAAUAAUUAUUUUUUUAUUGAUUCAAUAACAAAUAUAUUGAAAGCAUAUAAAAAAUUAUCUCUCUGUGAUUUUUAAAAUAUUAAUCUAUCUUCUACAAAAAUAAAUUAAUUUCUAUUAUUAUUUUAAAAGGUUUUUUUAUCUUUUCUGAAAGGUCGACUGGGCUAUAUGAGCUUAACUAUAUAGAUAUUAGGCUAAAUAUAUAUAAUACAUAUACGACAAAAUUUUGGGGUUGCACUGGGCUGGAGCCCAGUGCAGUCCCAAUGAAGAUCUGCCACUAUAUAUAUAUAUAUAUAUAUAUAUAUAUAUAUAUAUAUAUAUAUAUACUCUACUCCGUCCAUAAAAAAUAGUCAUUUUUUGUCAUUUUGAGAUGUCCACAAAAAUUAAUUCCUCUUCAUUUUGGCAAAUCAUCAAUCAUAUGGUGGGCUCUAUUCUCCACUCAUAAUAUAAUUAAUUAUCAUUAUAAACACUAUUUUUCAAGUGGGACCAUUUCUCGAUUCACAAUACAAUAACUAUUUAUAUUAAAACUCGUGUCGUCCCUUACUUGAAUUUUUUGUGGACGGAGGGAGUAUUAUUCUAAUUAUAGUUUGGGUAGAAUGUAUCUACUAUCCAAUAUCUUAUUGUACAUCUAAGUGAAACGCAUUUUGUAUAAGCUCAAGUGGAAAAGUUGAGGCAUUCAAAGUCUCUUCUUUAUGAAGGGUCUUGGGGUUUUUUUUGUCACUUUUGUGUGAAUAUUUCUCACCUUUGUGUGGUGUAGGUGUAGAGGUCUCGUCUGUGUGUGGAUUGCUUGUUUGAUCAUAAAAACUACACCAUACGCAUGUGAGAUUGAACCCAAGACCUCUCACAAAGAAGAGUAUUUGCGUGCCUCAACUUUGUCACUUAAGUUAGGUCUCAUUGGCAUAAUUGUUAAUAAUUUUAGUAAUAUUAAUGUUUACAUUGCAGUGUUUCAAUAUUUUACGGGGACGAGUACCGUUUGAUUAUUCAAAUAAAUUUAUGUAAAUAUGUAUUUAUUCAGAUCGAUUAUUGUCAACUCAUAUUUCAUUAUUAGAUAUUUAAUCAAUUUAAGUGAGUUCAAAUUAUUUGCAGGUAUAAUUAUAUAUAGGUUUGUGAAAAUACUAUGUAUAAUAAAGUUGUUUUUUAAUUAAGUUUGGAACGAGCAUGCAUAAGUGAAUAAAUUCGAAAUGAGUUUGAAUUUAAAAGAUGUUUCUUUGAUGGAUAACUGACACAUUGUUAUCUCCAGGCACAUCAUACAAAUAAUUUUGUAAGUGAAUAAAUUCUAAAUGAAUUUGAAUUUAAAAAAUGUUUCUUUGAUGGAUAAUUGACACAUUGUUAUCUCUAAGCACAUCAUACAAAUAAUUUUGUAAUUACUUCAUUUAAAUUAUUUAGUUAUAGAACUUAUACAUAUUAUUGUUAAUUUAUUUGCAUAAGUAGAUAGAGUAUGCUAAAUUACGCGAACUCUGAGAAAGCCCCAACUAUAUCCUCAUUAAAUAAAGUAAAUUUAAAUAACGGCAGAGCGCAAUUUAGUUGAGAAGACACUUCUUCAAAUCUUCAACGAGUAGGUUGGUGUUUCAAAUCACCUAAUGUAAAUGUGUACUAACUCGAUUCUAGAUUUGACGGGUGAUCUUACAGAUCAACACAAUUUAAUUAGUGUGCUUUGUCCUCACUCACACACUCCAUGAGAAGUUUAACUUUGAAUUUUUUUUAUGUAAUCAUCAAAAAAGAAGAUGCAUCUUAUUGAUAUGAGUAAUAAUUGUCAAAUUAUUUAAGCUCACCGACAAUCUUCUUAAUUCUUACUUCUAUCUCGAGCGUCACAAAAUGAGCGUGGAUUUUUAUAAAUUGUUACGCCUAAAAAAAAUCAAGUGUGCCUCACAAUAAAUUUCAUUUUGUAAGUCUACAAUAUGUUUAACUACUUAACCUUUUAUAAAAGUAUAGUGGAUCGGGUUUCCGAAUUUCAUCAAUAUAACUCCAUUUGAGUUUUUCAAAAGCAUAUUUCGAAUUAAUAAGCUUAUAAUAAUAAUCUAAGAUCAAGAGUCCUAAGAUUUUUAAGGAAAAACAACAUAAAACAUUUGAAGGCACUUACGCACCUCUCUAAUGUGAAGAGGCAAUAUCACAUUCCUAACGAAUUUGUAACUUAUGGUAUGGAUAUGAGAGCUGAUGAUUGUAACAAACAAAAAAAUUCAACAAUUUUGAUACAUCAAUUUUUGUUAUAAUUGUAGGCUGGAAAUGUGGUUAUUAGGUUUUGCAUUAAGUUGAAAGAGUCACGAGUCAUCCUUCAACUAAUUUUCUAACUGUCAUCUCCCAAAAUACAUUUGUUUAUUAAUACAACAUUAAUGUAAAGUAUGUAACCCCCACCGAAAUUCCCUUUUUGCAUUGCGAAAUUUUAGAUUGUUAUGGUUAUGGAUAUAACUGUGAAACACUAUCUAUCAACAUUAAGAAUAAUAAUAGUUAGUCGGAAGUUAUGAAUGUUACUCAUUUACACGAAAUUAGUGGUAAUUGUAAUUUAGUGACGAAUUGAACACCUCAGCUGUCAGCUUACAUUAAAUUUAAGUCCAACAGGAAUGAUUUGAUGCUGGUAUUUUGUGUUCCCUUUGCUUUGCAAUAAUUGUUGUUUCGCGCAUGUGGUAUAGAUAGUAGAUGCAUGUGGUAUAGAUAGUAGAUACCAUGUCGCUGUGACAUCAUUUAUGCAAUGCACCUACAAAUAAUGGUCACUUCCCUACCACCCAAUUUAUAGCUAAAUCCUUCUUUCUUUUUCUUUUUUAAUUUUUUUUAUUUAUUUGCUUUUUGUUUUUUUUCUUCUUCUACUUAGUACGCCUUCAUGUGCGAUGCACGAACCACAAUAUACUUAAUUAUUUUUUAAAAAUUAAAUUACGCAAUAAUAUCAAAAUAUCAUCUUUUAUGAGUUAUAAUCAUGAUGACAAAAAAUAAUUUCUGUUAAUUUAAAUAUUAAUAUUUAAUUUGAAAUAGCGUAUAAUAACAAUACUAAUCUCAAUGAACCAGUGUAGUUUUCUUCUUUUUAGUUGCAUUAAAAACUUUUUAGUUACAUUGCCCUCAAUUAAUAUUAUAAUUGCUAGAAGCCUAGAAUGCCAUAAAAUUAGAGGAAAGUUUUUUAAUUGAAAAUUGUGNUAAGUUAAUUAUUUAAUAGUACUAAGGUACGAACCAAGUUACAGACCCUAAAUUAAAACUUAAAGUAAGGUUAAAAGUUUUUAAGUUUAUAAAUUAGUUUUUAGUAUAUUACUACUACUACUACUACUAAACAAAAAACUAAUAAUAUAUAUAUAUAUAUAUAUAUAUAUAUAUAUAUAUAUAUAUAUAUAUUUUUUCUUUUUGGGACGUUCUUAUUUACCCUUAUUUUUCACUUUUUCGCUACUUAGAAAUUUAGAAUACUAACUAAAAUACAUUUUCACUAUUUUCAAUGCACUCAAUAAUCUUUUUUCACUUUCAAUAUACUCAAUAACAUUUUUCUUAAAAUUCGUAUCACUUUCUUUUAGGAAGUUUUUUUGUGGACGGAGAGAGUAUUAUAUAGAUAUAAAUAUAUAAAUAUAGGUGGAAUUGGUUGAUUUAAUUGGUUGCUCACGAAAAGCGGCAGUCCAAAUAAUUGUUCAAAAGGGUGCGGCUUUUUUGAGUUUUUCCCCCCCUUCUUUUUUAAAGCUUGUGGUUCUUUUUAGUUAAUAUGUGAUAAUAUUCAUUUUGCUAUUAUAAAGAUCAACAAUAGCCACAAAGAUGAAACAACAAAAAUUUUAACUUUGAAAUCAACAAAAUAUAUAAUCCUUAAGAAGCUUUGAGAUUAUGAUUAUGGACGAAAUAUGGCCAAUCAUGACUAAGAAGUUUCAUGAUUGUGAAGUAUAAACAAAAUAUGAUCUUGUCUCAAAAAAAUAAAAUACGAUCAAUUUACAACUAAAAAAUAUUUUAAUCGUAAAUUACAAACAGAAUAUAAUCAAGUCCCAGCUGAGAAACUUCAUGGUUGUGAAUUAUAAACAAAUUACGAUCAAUUUAUGGCUAAGAAAUAUAUUAAUCGUGACAUGUAAUUAGAAUUCAGAUUCAAGCACGUUUUAGUACAAGGAUAUGAAGGUAAUUAUUUCAAAAUACAAACUUGGUAAAAAGAAUUAUGCUCCUCUAAGUUUCAGAGUAGAACUCGACCAAGUAUUAAGAAAUUAAAGAUGAUAAAAGAGCGAAUCAUAACCUAUCAACCAAGAAUUAUCAUUUACUGUAACCUCACUUCGAUAGGGGAGGGAGGAACAUUAUUCUCUUUUCUUUUGAAAGCCCUCAAAAAAUAUUUUUUAAGACAAAAUCUUAAUGGUUUGGAGAUGAACACCGUGCCUAGUUGAAAUCACAGGACUCCUAGAAUACCAAUAUUGUUAUAAGCCAAUCGUCCAGCUCAACACCGAUAACCUAUCUAUUCUCGGAAUCCAGCAGACACUCCAACAACAUUUUCCAUUCGAUCAUACCAAUCACCGAUGCGUGUAUGCUCUACCAUGUCCUUACCAGCCCUGAGGUAGCGAAUGGAUUUUAAGACACCAAAGACGGAAAGGUCAGCUAAGUUGGGCUUCGUUCCACCUGGUACAAGAAGGUUAUGAAUGAGAAUAAGAUGUAAUGUGGUGUAUCUAGUAUCAGCAGAGUCAAACUAUGAUCAUGAUACGAACCUAGAAAAUCUCGACCCUGAAGAGCAUCUACCCAUGUUUCGGCAGCUUCAUACAAAGCCGCCCUCUCAUCAGUAAUGUUGUGCCUUUUCUUCAACCUCUUUGAUAUAAAAUACAUUGCACCAGCUCCAGCAUAUUUUGCACUUAAUUUCUCCAUGAAGCUGAAGUUGCCUGCAUUUUAGGCAAAACCAGAUAGCAGGGCAGAUAAGAGAAUAGGGAAAAGAAAGCAAUCUCUAAUUUUGAUAACAGCCAGCGAAACCAGCCAAUAGACAGUUUUGUGCCUAGGAGGCAGCAAGAUUACCACUAUAUCAUUGACUACCUCGAAGCAUUUCAAAAGCCGAGGUCCAAGCCAAACAUACAUACAUAAACUAAAAGAACAUGCACUAACAGUCUAACACACAUUCUUUAACACGGUUCGUAUGAUAGCUAAGAAAUACAACUAGCAUCAAGAAUAUGGGAAUAAGCUUAAUAAGAGACGCAUCAAAGCGAGAGAAAACUGUCAUGUUUUCAAGAAAACAAUAAACAUUUGUCAGCGAUAGGUAGUUCCUAGAAUAAUUGCAAAGUGCACAUAUUUUGAUCAAAUAUCCUGUUCAAGGAUAUGGAUUUGUUUAAAAUGUUGCACAUAACAGGUGUGCCAUAUUGAAGAUCAGGUCUGGUUCAUGUCAUUCAUUUGCAAAUGCAAUUAUCCUACAUAGCCAAGAGUUUGGAGAUCUCUUUUUCCUAUAUUAUAUAUAAUAUAAAGGGUUAAUUGCAUCAAAAUACCUGACCUUUUCCCAAAAUUUGGUUUUUUGACAAACUUUUUAAUUGUAGCAAAAAUUUUAGCUACGUUUCAAUUUAUUGCAAUGUCCGUCCCGCGUAUAUUUCCGGCCAAAUCCAUGCUGAGGUGGACCUCCGUAAAGCUUAGGUGGCAUGUCGUGCCGGGUAAUGAAACAUUGUCGUCUCAAAUCCAUUGCAAUAAUUGAAACGUAGCUAAAAUAAAUUGGCCGGAAAUGAAUGGAUUUGACCGAAAAUACACGCGGGACGGACAUUGCAAUAAAUUGAAAUGUAGCUAAAAUUUUUGCUACAAUUAAAAAGUUUGUCAAAAAACCAAAUUUUGGGAAAAGGUCAGGUAUUUUGAUGCAAUUAACCCUAAUAUAAAUUGGUAGCGAAUGGGUCUUUCGGGGAAAAAAUGUUACAAGUGAUGUGAAUGCUGACAGAUACAAGACCAUGUUAGUAGUGAAAGGAUAUAACUGAGAGAUGAUUACUAUAAAUCUUUCUCACGACACUAGGAAUUACAUUUCUGUUUGUGGCCAAGAAAUUUAUCAAAUGGCCAUUUUUAUUUAUGCAAUAGCUUAAAUAAAGAACUAAAAUACAUCCAACCAGAAAGCUAGGAUGAUAAAGGUGAAGCAUACAAAGAAUGUAAAUUAAUCAACCUCUGACAUGUUCUUUUGUCACCAGUACAGUGGUAUAAGAAAUUUAAGAACCUUAAAAGUUCGGUUUUAGGAAUACCAAAGUAGAACUUGUGUUUUCAUUUUAAUAUUUCAGGGUAUAAAUGUUUAUAUUGAAAAGUAUUGAGCACGUUAAACCACAAUGUAGAGAAGAAGCCUAUUGAUCCUUGAAUCAAACUUUUUCUAGAUCAGUUCAGAAAAGUAGGCCAAAACAAUUAGCAGUAUUAGAUAUCUAGUCAAACGAAUGUGACCUUAUCUUGCAUGCUCAGCCAGCAUACCAAGUGAUGAAACUAGAAGAACUAACAAGAGUAAUCAGAGACUGAAGGAUUAGGGUGAAUGUUGCCUGCAUUAGAAGAGUGGCUAGUCUACACAUGAAUAUUACGCCAUUACGGUAAUCCGUAAUGCUUAUUUGAAAUCAGAAAUAGCCAACUCUAAGUUGACUAGUGGUUGGGUAUUUGCAAUAGGAGGUACAAAGGUUGCCAGGGCCCUUAAGAGAAAACUUUUCUUGAAUUGUCUUCCAUCAAAUCUGUGUGAUAGCUAUGUCGUUAGUGCAUUCUCUGUUUCUGUUUCUCCAAUUACCUUAAAAUAAGCAUCUUGUGCAUCUUUUACAGUGUGCCUACCCUAUUCAGCACCUGCUUUAGUAUACAUCAUAAGUAUAACCAUCAUUCCAUAUAAAAUUUAUAUCAACUAGAAAAUAGGGGAAAAUGAUCGACAGAUGGAUCACUUGUCACCAUUCCGCAAACUUAAAAACACUAAAAAAGUUGAAAUAACAAUGCAAUCUGCUCCAAAAAUGCACAAACUGAAAACAGUAUCUUCAAAUUCAAUCAAUAUUGCUAGGAAUUUAGCUGAUACUAAAGUAAACUUACCCUUUGUAGUGAUGUAGUCAAAUGAAUCAAUAGCCUCAGAAAUAGUUCGGUAUAUAUUAGGCGAUAAAACGUGCACCAAGUGGUUGUCCACCCAUCUGCAUUGAUAGUAAUUGGUGUUACAUUUAUUAUUCCUCAUUACUUAAGGUAAAACUAAGUCUUACCCAAAUGACAAAAUAACAAUACUAAUUAAGGUAUUAAAAUUUGUAAUAAUAAGAAGGCAAAUACUGAGAACUAGAAACAGCAUUGUUACAAACAUCAAAAUGGUGACAUUUUGAUAACAAUAACUGCAAUCUGCAAAUGCAAAAGUUCACCAUAGUGUUUUGACAUAGUUUAUCAAUAUGCUACGAUAUGCGUAAAUAAGAAGCAAUAUAAAGAAAGUUUGACAUUAAGAGUCAGAAGCACAUGCCUCCGCCACUUCUUCUCUUCACUUUCUUCAGCAGAAUUAGUGGACACGUCAGGAUUGAUCUUUCUGUACAAUUUAUCAAUUAUAUCUACAUAGAGAACAUAUGAAUAGAGAUAGGAUUAGGAACUUAGGUGAAAACUUUUAGAUAAACUAAUCAACUCUAGUUGCAGAGAAACAGAUAUCAUACAUUUUUUAGAAACAUUAACGAUGUCAUGAUUUACUUAUUCAAUACCUGAUGAGUCAACCAUUUGUUCUCCAUCAACCAUCAAUAUGGGCACUUUCUUGUAUUCAGACCACUUGGUUUCCUUUUUGCUAAGAGGGUUCACCUCCACAAUUUUGUAUGGUAUGUCAUAGUAAUCCAGGAAUGCUGGAAAGUAAAGGACAGAAAAAUACGAGAGGUCCCCGUGUUAUAAAUGUCAGUAUGGUUAGAAAAGAAUACUUAAUAAGAUAGACAGUAGCAGCUAACAAGAUAAUGAUCAGGAAAGGGUGCUAGAGGAAUUAAGAAUUGCACACGUUGCCAUUUGCUUGCAAAUAUGUAAGAUCAACUACUGGCACAUCAUUUAUAUCGUUACUUUAAUUGCAGUUGCACACCUUGGUUUAACAUACAUUUUCUUUGAUCGAGUUUAGGCAGAAAGCAGAUUUACAGUUUAACAGUACAUCACAAUCACAUUUCAUUACAAAACAUUAGCUUUAACUGUUGGCCUUUGUAUUACUUAUAAAUUUAGGCAACAGGAACAACAGCACUGGCUUCGAGAAGAGACUGUAUCCAAACCCUGCAAUCAUAUUAUACACCCAGAUGCAUUUUGUAUGAUAAAAUAAGGGCGAGAUAAUCUAAACUUUUAUCAAGCCUUAAAUUUUUUGAUGAAUCACUUCAAUUAUAAUAUCCUAAAGAAGCCUUGCUAUAUCACGCAAGAUCAAGAAAGUUGGAGAAGUUCUAGUUCUUCAAGCCUCUUAGUUCUCUAAAUAAACUUAAGUGUAAGAAAUAAAACAGGAUCCCUUUGUUACAUCCUUAUGGCUCCCACGUGAGGUCAUGGAGCAAAAAAAAUAAGAAAAGACAGGGAUGGGGUUUCUCUAGCUUUUGUCGCACUCUACUGCAUCCGUAUUUUUUAGACAUUUUUGUGCAGACAGAAUAUGCCACAUCUAGUCCUACACUCAUCUGUAUGCCCAUAACUUAGUAUGUCAUUAACCAGUAACUAAUUAGCUUUCACUACUUACAUGUUAAUUUGUCUAAUGUUUAUAACCAACCAAAGAGAUCAAUCACCAGUAAGUUACGCCCAUGUCAAUCAUAACCAAAAGAAUGUUCUCAUCAAUAUGCCAUGAUUAUGCUUAAUAGUCACAAAUAAUUCUACAAAUAGAUACCGGUCAGAUUGUAAGCAAAACAUAUACUAUCAAAUAAUUACUUGAUCAAAUACUUAUUUUAAAAAAAUGGACCGCUUUAAUUGAAUUAUUAAAGUACUAAAGCUAUGCAAAUUCAUUCUACUUAACAAUGUUAGUAAAAUUUAGAAUUUCCAUUACUAUGAAGGGGGCUCACAAAUUAAUUACCCAAAGUCAAUAUCCCCUUCUUUUAACGGAUCCAAAUUGCAUUUCCAGCACCGCAAAUGUACAAUUUGUGAUUGAAGAAAGCAAUCCACAUUAAUGCUUUAGGCCAGAAUCGAAAUCAAAUACCUUUAACUUUAUUGCAGAAAGGGCAAGCUUCAUACUGGUACAGAACGACUUCUUUCGGCCGGAAAUUAACGGUCUCUUUGGCGUGAGCCUCCUCGACGAUAGAAGUGGCGGCCGUGGAGAACAGCAUCGUUCCGAAAACAGCGUGCGUGGCGGCGCGUGAGGCCUUGUCGCCGGCGAUGCCGUUGUACGAGAACCAUUGAGAUCUGGACGAUGAGUUAUAGCUGCUGGCGCUGAAGAGCGCCGCCUGGAACAGGCGGUGGUGCUGGUCCGCGGAGGCCACGACGCCUACGGCGCGGCGAACGGCGGAGAGUCCAGCAGCCCUUCGCAUCUGAGGAAACAUAGGAAGUUUUUUUUUUGGUGCGACGGAGGAAGGAGAAAGAUGAAAGCUAGAGAAGGGUUUUAAGGUCAGUACGUUUGGGGUGAUUGAUUUAUGUGGUUUAUACGAGGGUUUUAGAAGCUGUACACGUCAGCCUAAACUUUCGUGCAAAUUGGCUCGGCUUCAGCCGCAGGCCUAACGCUGCUUAAGAUUAAAACUUGCGCCAAAUCAUUACAUUUUUUUUUUAAGAAUCACAAGAGACAUCUACCCUAUUCUAAUCUAAUCUAAUCUAAUCUAAUCUAAUACUAUCUAAAUAAAUAAGCAAUCUGCACUUAAUCGGAAUCUCUACACCACACAAAUGUGGAGUCUAUCAGUUUUCAUCGUCCUGCUUCCUCCGGCCUUGGUCCAUUCGUCUGGCGACUCUUUAGCUCCGCCGACACCUCUCCAACUCAACGCCUAAUAGCAGGUAAAUCGACUGCAAUUUGAAAUGUGGGAGCUGAGAUGUGGAAGUGAAGAAUUCAUAUUUAUUGCUGCUAUUUAUAGAUGGUGAACCUGACUUAGCAUAUUCAAAAUUCAAAUAACCUAUUACCCAACAGAUAAAUUGAUCCAAAUUAUUCAGUAGAUUAAAAGAAGUGUGACUUGGCGGGAAAAAUUGGUAGCUGAAAACCUUGCUUUAAUAUUAGUAUAGAUAGAUUAUGAACUAUUAAUAAAAAAAAUUAGUUUAUUCUUUUUAGAAGAUAAACCAAUUUUUUUAAUUUUUUUUAUAAAAGUAGGUCUUUAUAUGCUUUCAAUAUACUUCUUAUUGAAUUAAUUGAAUUGCAAAUAAAAAUUUAUUAUAUUAAGUGACUAUUAAAAAAAUGCAUGAAAAUAAAUUGUACAUAAUGUCCAAAAAAAUUUGGUUCCAAACCCUCGUAUAAAUAUUUUCAGAUCCAUAGUUCGACAAAGUCAGCCCUAAACAUAAAUCCUGGACCCCCUGCGUACAAGAGAUGAGAAUUCUUCAAUGCGUAAGUAGGUGUAUUAUUGAGCGUAGAAGAGAGAUUAAUUUAUCGCUAAUAAAACUCUCUUACUUAUUGAUGAGGAAUAAUAUAUGCGGAACAGAGGAAUGACGUUACCAAGGGAAUCACGGGGAGCAGCGAGAUGGUUUUCGCCAGAGGAAUCACACUCGCCAGAGGAAUCACACUCGCCAGAGGAAUCAUAUUCGCCAGAUUAAUCACCUUCGUCAAAGGGACCACCUUCGCCAGAGAGACCGCUCUCGCCAGAGGAAUGACCUUCACCAGAGGAACCACCAGGAACGCGGAGAAAUCUCCUGCGUGAAGGCGAUUUUACUGUUAUACCCUUGACCACGCAAGACGCAUGCUUCAGUGCUGAUUUUACUAUUUUGCCCUUUAUAUGUAAUCUAUAAAUAGCGGCAUACGUGCUCCUUUGUAACUUACGCUAUCUUUUACUCUCAAUAUAACAGCAGCUUUCCUCUCGUUCUAGCAUUCCGAUUACUUCCUUUGUCUUCUCCGAUCAAUCAAAACUAGGUAUAACUCACGAUUUAUUCACAAUUCACCGAUUAGUUAGAUACCCACCCUCUUAUGUUUCACCACUUAUCUUCUACAUAUGGCUGAAAAAGUCUGUUAAAACUUUUCAGUAGAUGGCUAAACACUUUAGAAGAUUCAAUCUCUUUAGUUGAUGGAAGAUUCAAUCGCUCUUACUUAUCAUUAGGAUUUUCAAUUGAUUUAUUUCAAACCAUCAUAGGGGUCAACAUUAGAAUGCAAUCUGCAAUAAUAAUAGCGAGUGGGUUUGUUAAAUCGACCAACAUAUGAUUGAUGGAUUAAUGGCGUGCGCCUUAUUCCUUCGUCCGUGUAUGUUCUUUUUUUAUGAUACGAUUUACAUAUAAAUAUUUUUGGGGUUAUAGUAUGAUUAAAUUUUCAGUUAAUUAGAAUUUUAAAUUUAGAGUUAUAAGGUAAAUUAGUAAAUUUAAUAAUAUUUUUAAUAUUUUUUAAGUAAAAGGCUAUAAUGAAAAAAAUUAUAAAAUUACCCUUUAUGAAAAUGGGCUAGAUGCACAAUGAGCUGAUAAUUGGGGUCAGCCCUAGGGAUGACAGUGGAUCCUGGACCCGGUCCAGAUCCGUGGAUCCAGAUCCGAUUUUACGAAUCUGAAUCUUAAUUUUUUGGAUCCGUGGAUCUGGAUCAGGAUCUGGAUCUUGAAAUUUGAGAUCCGGAUCCGACCCAAAUCAAACCCGUGGAUCCGAUUUUAUUUAAAAUAUAUUAUCAAACCCGUGGAUCCUAUUUUAUUUAAAAUAUAUUAUUUAUUUUUUUAUUUAUUUUAUUAAUAAUAUUAGAUAUAUUAAAAAUUAAAAUUAAUAGAAAAAUUAGAAUAACUUUGAAAAUUGAAACCCUAGUUUCCAAUUCUAAUUUCUCCUCUAACCUCUCUCGGUUCCUCUCCCAAUCUCCCUCACUUGCCCGCCGCCUCAGUCACUCUCUCUCGGUCUCUCCAGUUCGCCGCCCGCUGCCGGUGAAGGCGGGGACAGCAGCAGCUGCAGCACACGCCCAUCCUCCUCCAGUUCGCCCGCCGCCCCUCUUUCCCUUUUUAGCCCCCCACCUUCUCGGACCACUCCAGCUCGCCGGUCACCUUCUCGGACCUCUCGGAGCACUCCAGUUCGGCCGCCACCUUCUCCAGUUCGCCGCACCGUUCGUGCGACUCUGCGUGCUGCCCAUCUCCCUCUUAGGUUAGAUUCUGAUUUUGUCAGAAGUUGGUUCUGGUUAUUAGAUAAGUUGAUUUUGUCAAUGUUCGUGACUGGUGAGUCACGGUUUGUCAAUGUCUAGAAUGAAAUUAUGUCUAGCAUUUGUUUUCGGCACUCAUCUUAAAGAAGGCUCGAUGUAUCUGCAUCUUCUAUUACUUCCGUUUUGAGGUUAUUCGCUGUUUUUUUCUCUUGCUCGACACCUCAGUUGCUUUCUGGCAGAUUGCAUAGCUUUUCCUUUUUAAAACUUUUGUUAGAUUCAGCAGAAUGCUUUCUGGCAGAUUGCAAAUUCUAUUUGUUGUUAUUGUGGGUUAAAAUCAAUCUUUUUAAUUUGGAAGUCCAAUUAAAAACUAUUGAAUGUUAGAUUCGUGACUCAGCCCAUUAGCGCUUGCCUCUCUCUCCGCAAAUUCAUCCCCUUUUCUUUGUUUUCUUCCCUCUUUUGAUAAACCCUAACCCUAAAUCCCUUCUCCCCUCAACCACUGAGCUCUCUUCUUACCACUCUAGAUCACUUUUACUCACCCAUUUUCAUUGGAAAAAUCGUGUGUAGAGUGAAAUUAUGGCAGAUUACUGCCGGCAGCGUGACUUCAUGUUCUGCGAAUUCUGCGGGACAAUGCUCUCUUUCGGUACGCCCAAGUAUGCUCGAUGCCCCUUGUGCAAAUCCCAGAAGCGUCUCAAAGGUCAGAUUUACUCCAUUCAUCUUUUUAAAUAUUUCCCAAUUAUACUAAUUUUAAUAGUCUAUUGCCAGCAUAUUGUCUUAUCUCCUGAGGAAUGAUUGGAGUAUUAUUAUUGAUUUAGCUUCUUAUUUUCUGUAUUUAAUUUUGGGAAUUAUUGAAAUCAAUAAAACAACUACAGUUUUUGUGCUUUAAGUAGCUUCUAAUUUUUAUAUUGAAUUAUGGAAUUAUCACUUCAACUAGUCUUGUUAAUGUUACAAUAGGGGGUGGAUUACACCGGGUGUAGCAUUUGCUGUCUUUUUGCACAUUUGCUUGUGGAUGUGUUGAUGGAAAGUAGAUGCUAUGCCUUAGAAGCUGCCUUGUAUAGCAUAGAGUAUAUCCCACUUUAAUAUGCUCAUUAGAUAUGAUCGCUUCAAAGAUAGAUGCAAUUGCUUGUUUGUGUCGGUUUAUAUUGAAUGCUAUCGUUUGAAGCUGGACUUAUAUAUACUUGGUAUAGUAGUUCAUCAGUUUAAGGAUGAGAUGAUUUAGUGAUAUUGUAUUGGCUUUAUAGUGAUGGACUAACUUUGGAGAGAAAUUUAAUUAGAUUUCUUUUUGUUUUGAGUCUCAAGUUGAGUUAUGAUUCUUAAGUGUAGCAGAAUAUUCUUGUGUUUUAUGUUUCUCUUUUAUGAACUUGGAACUAGCAGUUUUUGCUUAUUGAUUGAGGAAUUUCCUUCUUUUGUCUUCAGAGAUGAAGGGAAAAGUGAUCAGCUAUACAAUCAGUGCUGAGGUAUGAUGCUUGAUUUGGUUGCAUGGGGUUGUCUUUCACUAAUUUGAAAUUUUUAUUUGAGAAGCAUAACGAAGUAUUUGAUCAUUUUGUAUCAUGCCCAAACAUCAAACUGAAAUUAUUUUUUAACUUCAUGAAUUAUUAUUAUUUUCACGACAAAGAUGAGAGGAAAGGGGCCAGAUUUUGACGACAUAUACCUCAUGUUUAUCUACUAAAUCAGCUCAGAUAAGCUUACAAUUUUUUGUAAAUAUGUUAAAUCAAGAACCUGAUGAUUAUUUCUGAAGAGAAUCAGCGCAUGUCUCGAAUAGCCCUUAGAUAUGCUAGAUUUUCUUACAUUUUGGCUGCUACAGGUUUCAUGUCUAUUUAGUGGGAUGUAAAACAAUAGCAUCCGAUUCAAGCAUAAGAUACACGAUCGAGAUGCCUGAAGAUCUCUUUAAAAAUGAUCUUUUAUGAAUAACCACUGAAUUGUGGUCCAUACAUAGCUUGGAAGCACACUUAAUAAAAUUCUGGGAUAUCUAUGAAUAUAUGAUUGCUAGCAACUCUUUUGUUUGUGUUCUGCCCUUGCUAUCUCAUUAUGGCUUAAACCUAGCAACUAUAGAACCACAUAUCUUGCAGGAUUUGAGGAGGGAGUUAGGAGUGUCCACCCUCGAGGAUAUAGAAGAAGAGAGGGAACUAAAACAGAUGGUCAGAAUUAUUCAUAUACAUGCUGCCAUCUUUUAUGUUGUAGACAACUACUGUUUUUCAUGCAAUGGUUUUCUUCUUCAAACAGGAUUACAACGCAAAAUGCAAAGCAUGCCAGCACUUGGGCCUGGCUUAUGUUGCUAGACAGGUAAACUGUCAGCUAUUAUAUUUAAGCACAUAUAACUAUCUGUUGGUGGUCUAUAUCGCUGUUCUAGUCCCAAUGUCUAUUUUAACAAGCUCUGCUCGCUGGCUUCUUCGUCUUAUUCAGAUUCGAUCAGCUGAUGAAGGACAGACAAUAUUCUAUUCCUGCCCCGUGUGCGCCCACAAGCAGACGGAGAACUCAUAAAGGAGGGAUCUUUGUAUGUAUCAUAACAGCUAUGUCAAUCCAUCCAUUUUCCAUUAAGAAAAGAAAAAGAAUAGGUUAGCUGCAUAUUAAUACGAUGAUUCCUGUCCAAUGUUGUAGGGGUGCGUUUGUAUUACUUUGGGUGAUGUAUUAGAUUGACGAAAUAUACGAUUGGGUAUUGGAAGGAUUACAUGGUCGAAGAGUUUAUCAAAACACAUUAUAUCUUUGUCUAAGCUAUUACUCAAAGUAAACCUGCAUAUAAAUUUGGGUUAAGUACCAAAUACCCCCCCAACAUUGGGGCCCCUAUCGCGUAUAGGACCCUGACUAUAGGGUUCUAUACGCGAUAGUACCUCAACGUUGGGUGUAUUUGGUACUUCCCCUAACGUUUUGUCGUAUGUUUAUUUAUUCUAUAGUCAGGUAUUAAGUACCAAAUACCCCCCCAACGGUGACUUAAUGCAGGGGGGUAUUUGGUAUUUGAGGGGGGAUUUGCUUAGGUUUAGCCACGUUGAGGUAGUAAACAGCGCGGACCCUGACUAUAGGGUUCUAUACGCGAUAGGAGCCCCAACGUUGGGGGGUAUUUGGUACUUAACCCUAUAAAUUUUAUAGUAUGUUUAUUUAUUCGCCGGCAGAAAACCAACCUUUGACUAUAAUCAAGGGAAGCUGGAUUCUGUCUGUUCACAAACCGCCGGCUACGAUUCGGACCUUUUUUGAUGUUGAAUAAUGAAUACUACUUUGAAUCUGCAAAAAUAUCCAUCCAACUCUUUUUCCUGCGUUUAUUCCAGUAUUUAGUCUUUUCGUUUUGUUAAAGGUGUAUAAAUUUUCCUCCUUAAUAUGCCUUGGCUUAAUUAUCUUCAAAUUAACAAUCUUUUAAUUUAGUUAAGUAGAUGUAGUUGAAAAGUAAUGUUAUUUCACAUUGCUAAAUACAUUAAGGGGCGUUUACUUUGCAUGAUUAAUAACAUGCGUCAUUAAGUAUUUUUAUCCUCAAUAAUAGAAUUUCCUUAAUUUCAUCAUUUCAAUGUGAUAUAAAUCAAGUAAAAUUAGCUCAAAAGAUAGAAAUAAUAAGACCCCUAAGAUAUUCCAUAGUUCAAAUUUAUUUAAAUAAAUUAAUAUUAUUUUUAUCUAUUAAGAUCACUUCUCAAAAGUAAAAUAAUGUGUUAAAAUAGGUUCUCAUUUGUUCUUGCUGAGUAAAACUUCCAAGUAUAAUUGAAAUAUAACCAAUUUAUUUUCCAACGUAAUAAUAUAGUAAUAACAGUGUAAUUGUCCAUGCAUGUACCAUUACAUUUACACCGGAAUUUUAUAUUCGAAUUCAUAUAUUGUAUUUUAGCAUUUUGCCAACAUAUAUAGUGUGAAUAAUUAUAGUGUCUCCUUACAUUAUUAUUUUGAGUUAAUCAUAAAAAAAAAUAUGGAAAGCAAAUAACACUCUUAUUAAAAAAAUUAUAAAUAUUACCCAUUUUUCAUGUAAAAAGACAUCUUUAUCCUAUAUAAUACAUUAUUGAAUAAAUAAAUAAAAUAAAAUAAAAUAAAUAAAAAUUCACCUCCACCCCAACUUCAUCAUCUUCCCCCCUUCCCCCUCCAAUCAAUACAUCUUCCCCAAUCCUGCCCCGCCCCAACUUCAUCGUCUUUCCCAACCCCCUCCACCAAUGACAUGUAGUUGUUUUUCUUGCAUCAUCCCUCCAUCGUUGGCUUCAUCAUCUUCUCCAACCCUUGUUGCUACCACUGUAUGGAGUAUGGUCCUUCAUCCCUACAAUCGUCUUCCUAGCAUCAUCCGCAUUGUUGAUAUCAUUGUUAUUCAUGUUUAUCUUUGCACGCUUACACACUUCCACAUUAGAUUGUGCGAGUGUGCAUUAUCUUUACACGCUUACACGCGUGGGUGUGUAAGCGUGUAAUUAGUUUAAAAUUGCUUUAAUGUAUUCUAGUUCGUGUGUUAUAUAUGUGAGUGUGUAUUAGUUAAAACUGACUUAAUGCAUUCUUACCAGGGACGGAGCCAGGGGGGGCUAGAGCCCCAUCCCAAUUUGUAGUUUUUUUUUUUUUUUUAAUUAAAUAUAUAUAGAUAUAUGUUUAUACCUAUUAUAAAAUAAUUUUGUUUUAUAAAAGAGUAUUUGGUUAUUAUAUUCUCUCAUAUAUAUACUUAAUUUAAGGAUAAUUCCGUUAUUUAAAACUAUAUAAUCUAUGAAAUAUUGUUUGUUAUUAUUACUAUUAUACUUGUCUUUUUAAUAAAAAAAUCUAAUAUGUAUGAAAUGCUAAAAAAAUUAUAAUGUAUUGAAACUAAUUUUAAUAUAUAGAAAAUAUAUAAUCUAUGAACAUGUUGUUUGUAUUAUUAUUAUUAUGCUUGCCUUUUAAUAAAAAAUGUCUUAAAUAUACGGAAUGUCCAAAAAAAGUUUUGUGAUAUAUUGAAAUUAUAUAAUCUAUGAAAAUAUUGUUCGUUAUUAUUAGUAUUAUGCUCGUAUUUUAAUAAAAAAAAUACCUUAAAUAUACAUAAUGCCCAAAAAAAAUUCUCGGGGGCUACCGCCCCCGAACCCCCGUACUGUUUCAGCCCCCCCCCCCGAAAUUAAUUCCUGGCUCCGUCCCUGAUUCUUACAUGUUAGUUCGUGCGUCGUGUGAAUAUGUAAACGUUAUUAACUAAUAUUGAUCUAACACACACCUACACACUGAAAAAGGUAAAAUUAUAAAAAUGAGUACUUUUUAUAUAUUCUAUAGAAACAAUAUACUCGCAUGGCCAUUUUGAAGAAGGAAGCACAAUAUUUGAAAAAACACAAAAUUUGACCAUUUUUUACGUUUUAGGACUAUUUUGCCCUUAGUUAGGGCGGACCAAAUUCGGGUCGGAUUCGGGUUUGCGCGCGGGUUAGACACACAUGGCGCUAUUAGUGCCAUAUACUCGGUGCUGCACGAAUGGUACUUAUGGCCAUAUUAGUGUCAUUAGUGACAUAUAACUGUGUGCUGAUAUUAUUUAGAUGGGUACAGUUAUAUGAUCAUUUUGAACAUUUCCUCGAAUGGUUUAGAUUAUUCAUUUAGGGUUUAGAUUAUCCAUUUAGGAUGUUGCACGAAUGGUACUUAUGGUCAUAUUAGUGUCAUUAAUAUCAUAUACUCUAUUAUGUAGUGUUGCACGCAUGAUACUUAUGGCUAUAUUAGUGUCAUUAGUGUCAUAUACUUAGAUUUUUUAUUCGGUUGGCACAUAUGGCACUAAUAGUGUCAUAUGUGCCUAACCUGCGCGCAAACCUGAAUCCGACCCACCCUAAUUAAGGGUAAAAUAUUAUGUUCCUUUCUUUAAAAUGACUAUUUCGAAAGCCCUCUUUAUUUUAUAUGUGUUGGUAUUAUUUAUUUUUGUUAUUCUAAAAUAGAUAUUUUCUAUUUUGCAUAUUAUUAUACUCCAUACAAUACAAGUAGUGUGCAUAGUAAAACACAAAGUCUAACAAAAAGUGUAACAAGUGAUAAGAACUUGAAAUUAUUAAUACGGGAGUGGCAUGUGCAUGUACAGAUAUUAAGUUAUCAACACAAAUGAAAUAUUAUUGGCAUUACAUAAAUCCACUUCGGUACAUUGAAUGCCGUUGUACACUACCGCCCCUUUAUAAAAACAAUAGAGGCAGAGGCAGAGGUCGGUCACAAACUCUAAAUACUUACAUUUAAUUUAAUAUAAUACUAUUUGCUCUGAGGUAUAAAGAAUGAAUAAGUUAUAUUUAUAAUCCUAUACGUCGUUUGCUUUGAUAUAUGAAAAAAUUCGGGUAGAUUGUAUAAUUUUUUGGGCAACUCCUUAUUCUUGGAAAAUAGAUAAUUUAAUUUAUACUUAAAAAAAAGUGGUAUAAUUUUAUACCACCUAUAAAGAGUAGAUAAAUAUAUUAUCCUUCAAAUCAAAUAAAAUAUAAAAAAUAUGAUUCUCAUUUUAAAUGGUAAAUUUAUAAUUCAUUAUCUUAUCCCUCCAUUUAAAGGGAUACAAAGCAAAACACACCCUUAAUAUGUCGUGUGUUGGCCUUUCAAGCUCUAAAUCAAACAACAAAUUUAAAGCAUUCCCCAUUUUGAGCUCAAGAAAAUAUAUACUAGUGAAGUACAAGUCUCUAAAUUAAGUGUAAAUCUUAUUGAAAAUCAAUUAGGCGAGUGACCGGUUAGGGCUUAUUCAGUGCAGGCGGCGGAGAUCAUCCGUUGCCGCCGCAUUGCAGGUGAGCUUCGGCCUCAAAGAAAAUGUGGGCAAGGGCAAGCUGCUCGGCGGCGGCGGAGAGAUUGUAAACAACAGGAGCAUGUCCACUCGAUCUUUAAUCACCGAAUCAUCAAUACUCCGCGCUCCGAAUUUGGGACGUGUUUUGAUCUCCGUGGACGUGGAAUAAGAUGCAGUGGAUUUCUUUCGGUGCUUUCUCUUAGUGGGUGGAGCGGGGCAGGAGGAGGUGCGGUGGGGGAGGGGCGGUGGUUGGAGGAGACAGAGCGGCGGAGCUUUGAGAAGGCCCUUUGAGUUUACCAUCCCCCCAUGCACUACUGAAUCUCUCUCCAUUAACAAAUUCUACCCAAAAACCAUAAAAAUUUCAUAUAUAUGUGAUCAAUUGCUCACGCAGAGCAGAGAAGAAGGAAGAUUCAUAUAUAUGCAUGCAAGACACAGAGUGGGCCGGGUUGAAGCUCUAAGAUAGAUAUGCCCUUUAUAUAAAGAUGAGAAAGCACAUAUAUAUAUAUCUAUUUAUUUUGAUUAUUUUAAUAUAUAUGGUCGCAUGGAAAUGUAGCGACAACAGUAGGCGGUUGGGUGAUGCAAGAUUUUCACGAUGUUGAAUAGCGUGGGGCGGCGCCGCCGAUGCGAUCAAGGCCACUGGAUUUUCGCUGUUUUUAGAAAUAUCGGUGCUGCAGAUGCUCACCGUUGAUUUUCUGCUACGGACUUUUUGGGUAAAUCCUUGCCACACACAAAAUGGGUUUUGCCCUCAUUUACAAGGAAUUUUCGCAAAUUGCAAUUAAUCCUUAUAAAUAGUUUGGUACCUUAUAUGGGAUCUGACAUAAUAUGUUUGAAUCAGAAGUAUUCACUGUAUAAUAUUUUACUAUAAUACUGUUUAGUAAAAUAUAUUAAAAUAUUUGUAAUAUACUAAUUCAAUGUUUGAUAUAUUGUAUAAUAAAAUCAUAUAUAUAUAAUUAGUAAUUUUUAUAAUUAUGAUUUGCAAGUAUAGUCACACAAGUCUUUAUAAUUUUUUUCAACUUUUAAUUUAUAAAGAACUAUAUAUUUUACAUCAAAUAAAAUAUUUAAAUGUUAUAAAUAUAUUAUAUCUUAAUUACCCAGGUGAAAGCAUUAAUUAGUGAGGUUCUUGUUAUCUAACACAAUUAACUAUUGCACAUUAGUUUGUCAUAUGCAGUAGCUUGAAAUCCCCAUGUCCCAUUAAAAAUUGUUUGUUUUUCCAUUUUCGUCGGUCACGCUCAGGGACGGAUCCAUAAUUUUUUUGUCAUGGGGGCACAAAAUAACUACUUCAUAUAUAUAAAAUAUGUUCAAAAAAAAUUACUACAUAAUAAUUCAAGUCUAUUAUAAUUGAAACCUUCGACAAUAAAAAUUUAUAUUAUAAUUAAUAAAAAAUAUAUAAAAUAUAAUAAAAAUUAUAAUUACAUAAUUUUGGGAUUACAGAAUUUUAUAAAAAAUUAUAUUAUAAUUAAUGAAACUAUAUUAUAAUCAUAGAAUUUUGGGAUUGGCAAUAAUAAGAUAUAAUAAAAUUUAUAUUAAUAUACAUAUAUAAUUAAUAUAUAUAGAAAAUGUUGUGGGGGCACGUGCCCCCGUACCGGGAGCCGUGGAUCCGUCUCUGGUCACGCUAAGAAUGGUUCAGUCUAUUAAAGAUAAUACUCCCUCCGUCCCACCGUUUUAGUCCCUUAUUCCAUUUUGAGAUGUCCCAAAAAGAUAGUCCGCUUUUCUAAUUAAUACUAUAUAAAAAUAUUGUUUUUACUAAAUUAACCUUAUUUAAUGCUUCACUUAAAUGUGAAAAGGAUGUGUGAAAAUACUAAAUAAGGGUAUAAAAGAUAAAAAUAUAAAUAUUAAAUGCAUUUUCUUAAUAUGUGUGAAAAGUGAGAGAGGACUAAAAUGGUGGGACGGAGGGAGUAAUUAACUUUUGAAAAUGUGUAGGUUCUAUCUUUUUUUUUAAAAUUUAAUUUACACAUUUUCAUUAAUCUCGGGGCCAAAAAGAAAUGAGCAACUUUUAGCGGUAUGGAUGAAAUAAUAUUUAAUUUGAAUUGAUUUUCUUUAAAAAAAAAUCUUUUAUGACAAUGGAAAUAAUUUACCAGGAACUUAAAAACAUAUUCUAUCAAUUUUGAUCAAAAUAUUUUAAAAUUAUAUUACUAUCUUUUAUAAAAUAUAAAAUUAUUUUUUGAAUUUAUAGAAAACAAUUUUUAAAGAAAUAAUUUAUAUAAAAGCUGCUUCAAAAAAAUACAUAAAAGCUACUCCACUUCAUAUGCUAUAGUUAUAAAAUAAUGCAAAAUGAUUUUUCAUUGAAUUUAGACGGAAGUUCAAAAUUAAUGAUUUUUUUUUUUUCAGAAUCAUUAGGUACACUUUUAGUUUUUCUUCUUCGUUCACCCUUUUUAUCCAGCAAUAUAAAUAAUUUGGGGAGUUUGAUUCGAGCAUGACCGUGAAAAUAAAUCAAAAACUAAGAAAGGUAUAUAAGUCAUAAUUUAAAAAAAAAAAAAUCCUUAUUUCUUCUUCUUUUUUUUUUUUUUACAAAUUAUACAAGUAAAUAAAGAAAUUAAAAGACGCGCCACAGUGAACUCAAAUCCGAAACCUCAUACUUAAACAUUAAUCACCUACACUACAAAAAAAACGCCGAAAUACCGGCGGCAAACUAGAGGACCCGCCUUUUUAAAUUUACCGGUCAUCGGUAAUUGCCGGCGGCGUGCCGCCGGUAUUUAUAAAAUAAUUUAAUUUAAGUUUAAUUUUAAUGAGGGAUCUAUAUUACCGGCGGCUUUUUGCCGCCGCUAUUUCUUAAAUUAAAUCCGUCAUUCCCAUAUCCCCUUUUCAUUUCACGCAGCCCCCCCCCUCCCCACCCUACUCCUUGCCGCACCCCCCACCCCCAGUCGCCUCACCCCACCGGCCCACCCCCAGCAGUCGCCGCCGGCCAGCCACCCCCGCAGGUUCUCUUUCUCUCUCUUUCUCUCUCACUUUGACAUCUCAUUUUCAGUUCAACAACGCCACUGCCGCUGCCGCCACCGCUGCCGACCACUACCGUACGCUCUCGUUCUCGCUAUUUUAUUUAUUUACUAAUUAUUUUGUUAGAUUAAAAUUAAUGUUAAUUAGAUUAAUUUUAAUUAAUUUAUAAUAUGUGAAGUAUGAUUAAUUUUAAUUAGUUAGAUUAAUUUCAAAUUUGUUUUUACAAUUAUUUUGUUAGAAUCUAAUUAAUGUUAAUUAGAUUUAUUUUAAAUUUGUUUUUACAAAAUAUUAGAAUCUAAUUAAUGUUAAUUAGAUUAAUGUUAAUUAAAUUAAAGUUUGAUUAAUUAUAAAGCAUGAUUAAUUUUAAGUAUGACUUUGUUAGAGAUUUAUUUAUGUUAGAUAAUUUUGUUAAAUUAAGUAUGAUUAAUUGAAUUUUAAGUAUGCUAGUAUGUGUUUAUGAUGAAAUGAUAUGUUAUUAUAUAUUGUGGGAUAGAUUUAAUCAAUUUCUUAAGGAUCUUCUCCCAACAAACAAAUAUUUUUAAUUUAAUUAAUUUGUUUUUUAUGGUUUUAUAUGUAUUGUAUUGUUUCGACAAUGGGGGGCCGGGUAGACCUAGUAUAGACUUAGUAAAUUAGGACCACUAUGGUCACUAUAGCUGCUGGUAGAGUCGAGCACUUGGUAGUUAGGAUAGUGGGGUUAUGCUGUCGAAAUUUCGUUUGAUUCAAGUAAUUUAUGAUCUUUUAUUUAUUUUUUUCAAUUAGAAUUUGCAAGAAUGAGUGAUAAUCGUAUGUGGAUGUAUGCGAGAUACAAUGAUCGUUCUGCAUUUGAAACGGAGCUUCUCCUCUAACCAAUAGGUCGGCUGGUCGAGGGUUCGAGUCACCUAGAAGGCUAGAAUAUGAGUGUGUUUUUUCUUUCUUUGGGUGUAAUAAUUUUUUUUUUUAAAUUUCAAUUAUACCAACGAAAUUCAAGCAUCUAUAUAACUAAUUUAGAAUAAAGUUUUCAGCAAUAAUUAUGUUAGAUGUAUAAUUAAUAAAUUCCUCAACAUCUAAAAUAUAGUUUUAUAAAAAAAAACAUCUAAAAUAUCUAAAUUCAAAAAUAUGAAAACAGAAAACAGAAGUUACUAUAAAUUCCCACAGGAGACUAACUAAAGUGUUUCAAAUUCCUGAAUUAGCAACAACUGUCCUGUAUAGAAUCAAGAUUCAGACAUGCAUGACCAUUAAAUUUCAAACAAUAUUGUUCCAAAUAUUACACAUGUCGAUGAUGCUAUUUUAUUACAUAGUACUAGUUAAAAUAGUUACAGAAAACCGUUAUGUAUGGAUCCACCAAGGGUCGUUGAAUGCAAGGAGAGGGAGCCAUUUAUGUUACCUUUAUCACAUCUGUAAAACUUUCGUUUGCCAUUGUGAUAUUCUUCGUACUUGUUUUAUUUUUUACAAAAAAUAUAGUAAUUAAUCCAUUUUGAUGAAGCCCCUUUACGAUAUAAUUAAUGUAAUAUAGGCCCAUUUGGUUCUUGAAUUUGAGUCCCUUUUCUUGAUCAAGAUUUUUAGAGACAAUUGUUUUUGAAAAUUUAUGUGGUUUGUGCGUUGAUCGGUGGAAUUGUUGAGAGAAUUCUUGAUAUAAGUAAGAUUAGAGAUGGGUUUUGUAAGCACAAUAUUGGGCAUGAUUGGUUUUGGGAUGGGUUUUUCAGCUGGGCUUGUGGCUGGAUAUUUCUUGUUAAUCUACUUUCUGCCAAAUGAUGUAAAGGUGAAAUUUUCUCAGACUUGGUUUCUGUUUUAGGAUAUGUUGUAAUUACUGAUCUCAUCUCUGUUCUGUUUAAUUUGAUGUUAUCAUCACAUAAAUUUGGUUUCUUGAUGAAAUGUGAAUUGGGAUUGUUCCUUUAUCUGAAGCUUGUUAUACAGUAAAUUAUGGCAUUACAAAGUGUUCUUCAUUGAUCAAUAUAGGGUGGAAUCAUAGUUUGUGUUCAACUCUCAAAUUUGGUGGUGCAUUGAUUGAAUUAUUUGGAGAUUUUACCACAUUCUGCAUUCUUAUAAUUUAUAUUUGAGGAACUGAUAAACUGUUUCUGGAGUGUUUACUUUAGCUUAUAUUGAUAACCAUCGCAUGCCAAAUAGAUAUGAACAAUUUCAGCUUUGUUUGAUGACUAGUUUAAGUGUGCUGAGCACGUUUUUGCUUAGAGAAGAUUAGAGUUUGUGCUCAUUCAUUUGAUAAUACUCUCGGCAGGAUCCUGAAGUCCGUCCAUUAGUCGAGCAAUCUUAUGAAUUUCUCCAAACUCUUCUUCCAGAAAUACCACUUUGGAUAAAAAAUCCAGAUUAUGAUCGAGUGAGCUCUCCCUUUUUUUUUCACUUAUUGAGUUUGUAAGUUCUGGUCAUAUAUAGUCUAUAAUAUAAUGCCUCUCCUGCAGCUGGACUGGUUGAACAAAUUCAUAGAAUGUAUGUGGCCUUAUUUAGAUAAGGUAUGGUUGCUUUUUUGCAUACUAUAAAUGGCUUUCUGAUGAUAAAUUUGCAAUCUGAUGAUAUAUACGACGAAGCUCUCAGGCCAUAUGCAAGACAGUAAAACAGAUCGCCGAGCCUAUUAUAGCUGAGCAGAUUCCACAAUACAAAAUUGAUGCAGUGGAAUUUGAACAGCUAACUUUGGGUGGCCUGCCUCCAACUUUUCAAGGUUUGGCCAUGAAUUUUUUCUUGCUAUUUUCUGCUUAUUGCCAUUAAACAUGGAAAUUAAUUUACCAUUAUCCAACCAGGAAUGAAGGUCUACAGCACUGAGGAAAAGGAACUGAUGAUGGAGCUAGGCUUGAAGUGGGCAGGUACGCCUAACAUCCUCGUUGCUGUCAAGGCGUUUGGGCUGAAAGCUACUGCACAGGUAUCGUCUCCUUGUAUCAUUCCUCUCACAUAUAUCCAUCCGGAAGUGAUCUGUCCCGCCUUUUUGGAGUGUGUUUCAGGUCAUUGACUUUCAAGUUUUUGCUUCUCCACGUAUCACCUUAAAGCCUCUCGUUCCAACUUUUCCUUGUUUUGCAAAUAUAUAUGUUUCUCUGAUGGAGAAGGUACAGACUCAGCAUGUAUAUAUACUUCUCUCGGUGAUACAUUAUCCCUCGUGCAGAGAGAGCACGGGUUGUAUUUGACUCCAUUCUUUUUGGCUCUAGAAAAGUUACUACAAUCAAAAUCACAUGCAUGUUGAUUAGCUUUUGUUGUUCUAAUAGCCUCACGUCGACUUUGGAGUGAAGCUUCUCGGUGCUGAUGCAAUGUCCAUCCCUGGUGCAUACAGAAUGGUGCAGGUAUAUAUAUUUCAAUAGUUUCACUAAACUCAUGAAAAAAGUAAUUUAUAUUUUUUGAAGUUGAUGUUGGAUUAUGAGAGGCGAGGCAAACGGCCUGCUGAUUUUGAUUGAUUUUCCAUGACAAUGUGUUUUACAACAUGGAUUCAUGCUGCUGCUUUAAAGGGUGGUGAUAGUUGAGCUAUCUUUGUUUAUAUAGUUUCGAAUCAUGUCCAUGAUAAAAUAUUAUUAUGCUUCUUUUUAAGGAAAUCAUCAAAGAUCAGGUUGCUAACAUGUAUUUAUGGCCUAAGAGGCUUGAAGUUCAAAUAAUGGAUCCUAUGAAGUAAGUUGGUAAUUGGUGUUUAGCUUAAUUUUCUAAAUAAAAUCAUAUCUUACUAAUACUAUAGCCUGAUUCAUGGAUUCAUGAUAUGUGAAUUGACAGAGCAAUGCAGAGACCAGUUGGCAUUCUUAACGUGAACGUGGUCAGAGCAAUGAAUUUGAAGAAGAAAGAUCUCUUAGGCUCCUCUGAUCCUUACGUGAAGCUACGACUGCACGAUGACAAGCUGCAGUCGAAGCAGACAAGCGUAAAGAAGAACAACUUGAACCCCGAAUGGAACGAGGAGUUCAGCCUCGUUGUGAAGGACCCUCUAGUUCAAGAUUUAGUGCUCACAUUGUACGACUGGGAAAAGGCAUGUCUCACUUCUCAUCCGUCGUUAUGAUACCAUCCGCUACUCGGUAUUAUUUUUUACCUCUCUGUUUCUCAUACAGAUUGCAAACAAUUUGUUAGGUUGGAUCACAUGAAAAGAUGGGGUUGAACGUAGUUCACUUGAAAGACCUCACUCCCGAGGAACCGAAACUUGUAACUCUUGACAUUCUUAAGAAUCUGAAUCCGGACGACGCUCAGAAUGAGAAGUCGCGAGGGCAGCUCAUAGUCGAGGUCAAUUACAAACCUUUUGGUGAAAAGGAGUUGGCGAGCAGCAAUAUUGCUAUAGGUGAAGUCGAGAAGGCUCCUCAGGGCACGCCCGAGGGUGGUGGUGUGCUCGUCGUUAUAGUGCACGAAGCUGAAGAUUUGGAGGGCAAGAACCACAACAAUCCGUCCGUACGUCUACACUUCCGAGGGGAGAUGAGAAAAACCAAGGUUAAUUUUGUGCUAUAUAUGAGAAGCUUGCAAAAUCUUCAACUAUUUUUAAUGCAGCUUUUCUUGCAUAUAUUUGGUAGAGAUUGAAAAAGAACAGAGAUCCGAGAUGGGAAGAGGAGUUCCAGUUCGUGCUUGACGAGCCACCUAUGAACGACAGGAUCCACGUUGAAGUAACGAGUUCUUCUAAGAAAAUGGGAGGCCUGCGAUACCCAAAGGUAACAAUGCUUCGUUCCAAAUGUUACUCUGCAGAUAGUAAUUGUGAUGAGUGAUGACAAUGCAAAUAUUUGAAUUUUCUUAUCAGGAAAGUCUAGGCUACGCGGAUCUAAACCUAGCAGACGUCGUCAACAACAAGAGGAUCAACGAGAGGUACCACCUUAUCGACUCAAAGAAUGGCCGGAUUCAGAUUGAGAUGCAGUGGCGAACCGCGUCUUAGACGCUCUUGCAAACUGCGUUGCCUUAAUAAUAUGGUAGACGGGUUUAGAUGAGGCAUACAUUGUGUUUUAUGCUUUUCCUGCUAAUAUUUGAUCCUUUAAGAUGUGAAUUAGGUUGCUCAAAAUUCAUUUCAUUGCCAUUAAUCAACUAAGUUCUAUACAUAUGUGUGUAGUCCAAGGCAUAGUUUCUCAAUACAAGGAGUUUGAGAAACUUUCCACACUAUCUCACUUUAUUUUUCUAUUCUAAACCAUCGUUUUCAACCAUAUGCUUUAUAUCAUCAUUUUCUAAGAAAUGCACAGUCCCAUAAGAACAACAGUAGUAAUUCUUCCCAUCCCGUCAUAAUAUAUCCAUUCUCAUUCAUCUUGAUACUAUAAUUUUUUUGUGUAUUUCUUUUUUAAUUGGUUUCAACAUAUAUAAUAUCUACACUUCAUGAAUCAAUCUAUAAGGGCAUAAUUUAUUCACAACAUUAAAUAAAUUACGAGAACAAAAAAAAUUAGAAAACCAUAAGAAAUUUAUACAAAAUUCUCUCUAGAAAACUUUUAAAUGAAAACCAAGCUUUUAAAUUUUAGAAGUCGAACUAAAAGAUUCAAGAUAUUAAAGGUUUAUUCCAUAUGGGAAAAAAAAAAUUCAAGAUUUCUUUUUGAAUAAAAAAAAUGAUUGACUAUAUAAGAUAAUUUCAUUGGUUGUAAUUAUCAGUUGCUUUAAUAAAAUCAAUUAAAAAAUUACAAUUCAUUUAUUUCAAUAUAUAUAUAUAUAUAUAUAUAAUAUUCCAUUCAUACUAUAUUUCUUUUAGAUACUACUCAUGAACUUUAAAGUUAUUUCACUCAUUUCUCAACAUUAUUUUCUAUUUUCAAAUUUAUUUCUCUUCAUCCAUGAUAAAAUUUUAUACUUUUCUUUUUAACGAUGUCCACAAAAAGAAUUAUAUUUUAUUUUUGACUAUACCCUAUCUUUUAUGAUACCUUAUUUAUUUUUACUUUGUACAUUUUCACUAUUCCAAAUACAAAUUAAAACAACACAAUAAUAAUUAUAUUAUUUUUUAUCACUUUAAAUAUAUUCAACAAUUUCCUUUUAAAAUCCGAAUCACUUUCUCCUAAUAAAUAUUAUCGUGGAAAAGAGUAUUUCAUUUAUAUUUAACAGCGUUUAGAAUCAGGUUAUAGAGGUGCUUCGGAUAUUUCUAAAUUCUAACCAUUUAGCUAGUCGGUGAUGGUAAUUGGUAGGAUAUUUCACGAAGGCUAAACUCUUUAGAAUGUCAAAGUUUUGCAACAUAUGAUACAAUUUCGAUCAUAUGUGCUAUACUCCCUCCGUCCCAUUAUUGAAGACACACUUUCUUUAUUAUGGGUGUCCCAAUAAUAAAGACACACUUCCAAAUAAUGAAAGAAUUAGGCUUUAAUAUACACUAGUUAAUUGCACCUUAAUUAAAGUAUAAAUAAGACAAAAAAAAACCCUAAACCAAUUUUCUACACUUGGCCUCUCUCUCCCAGAAUCGACCCCCUCUCUCUCUCGGCUCUCUCGCCGCCGGCGCCGCCCUGACCGCAACACCUCCCGACGAAGGCCAGCGGUAUCCAUCCCCAUCUCGCCCUCUCUCUCUCUCUCUCUCUCUCUCUCUCGCCCGACGAAGACGUCGCCUCAGUGGUGCAGCCGCCGCCUGCUGCUUCUUCUCCCCUGUUCGGCCGUCACCCACCCCCCUCUCUUCUCCUUUCGACUGCACAACAGCGGUGGCUUCGCUUCCUUCGACGGAAUCGUUUGCCUCCUCUCCUUCGUUCUCUCCCUCCUCGCCGGUGGACUAGGGUUUGCAGCGCGGCGCCCCUCCUCCUCUCUUCUCCUUCUCCAGCCGACGGCGGCUCUGGGGCCGCGCCGCGACCGCUUUCUUUCUUCCCCUAGCAUCUCUCUCUGUCCGACUCCUCUCUCUUCCCUUCUCGGUUCUCCCUCAUCUCUCUCUUCCUAGACUCUGAGUCUGCUGCGAUUCGAUUUUUGGGUUAGGGGCUAGGGUUUGCCGCGAUUCGAUUUUUGGGUUCGAUUUUGCAGGUUCGAUUUUGGGUUUGAUUUCUGGGUUUGAUUUGGGGGUUGAAUUUCUGAGGUAGUGGUGGUUGUCGUAGGCGGCGGCGGUAGUGUCGAUUUUGGGUAUGAAUUGGGGGUUGAAUUUCUGAGGUGGCGGUGGUGUCGGAGGUGGCGGUGGUGGUUGUCGGAGGCGGCGGUGGUGGUUGUCGGAGGUGGUGGUUGAAUCUGAAAUGUAAUGAAUUCUGGACAAUAUUUUUUAUUUAAUUCAUUUAAAUUAAUUAAAAUUUUCAAAAUUAAUGAAAUUACAAAAAUUUAAAAUUCAAUUAAAACAUUAAAUAGAAAUAAAUAAAUACACUAAAUUAAAACUAAUCAACUACACUAAUAGUGGUGGGCCACAACACUUUAACAACUAAUCUACCUCUCCUUAAUCUCCGUGCCCAAAAGACCUAUGUCUUUAUUAAUGGGAUGGACGGAGUAUUAAAUACUCCCUCCAUCCGCCAAAAGUAUUCCACUUUGGCCGGGCACGGAGUUUAAUAAAAUGCGUGAUGAUGUUGAUGUAGUGGAGAAAGGGUCCCACCACUUUAUGAGAUGUGUGGUUGAGAUUGAAUUUGGGGUGGGUUUUUUGUAAAUAAAGAGUGUUUGUAAGGAUAAAAUAUAAAGGUGGAUGGUGGGACCAUGGCUUAAAAAGGAAAGUGGAAUACUUUUUGCGGACGCCAAAUAUAGUAAUUGUGGAAUACUUUUGGCUGACGGAGGGAGUAUUAAAUAUAUACAUAUUAAAUACUCCCUCCGUCCCGCUAAAGUUGGCAACAUUCGUUUCGGCACGGAGAUUAAGAAAUUGAGUGUUAUAUGUUUUAAUAGAGUGUGGCCUACAAUUGUUGACCAAAUUAGUGAGUAAUUGUUGACUUAAUUAAACUAAACUUUUGCCAUUUUUAGAAAGUGGCCAACUUUAGUGGGACACCCAAAAUAGAAAUGUUGUCAACUUUAAUGGGACGGAGGGAAUACUACAUGAUGCAAAAGAUUGAUUGGUGGCAGAUUCGCAUAGGGAUUAACGUUGGGUGAUUUGUGUGAGAUAUGGUCCAUCUUCUGAUCUGUUAUGUCACAAAAGCCUAUGUAACCUUUUCCUCUUUUUGUUAAACAUGUCAUCACAUAACUAGUCAAUCUAGGGGAAAAAAGGUUUUACUCCAUGCUCUUCACUAUUUUAGAAUUUCUCAUUUAAAAUGCCUCUUCUUUUCUUUUUCAAGUAUAUAAAUAUACUUACAUUUUGAAGUAUGUUAAAAAUAUCUAAGUUAAUUAAUAAAAAAAACUGAAUCUAUAUAUUUUUUAAUUAUCAAAUAUGAUAAUAUAUUAUCCAUCGAGAUAAUGUAUUCUGAUCGGUCAAUUAUCUGAUGAGAUAAUAUAUCAUAUAUUGUCCGACGGGAUAAUGCAUUAUUUGUUGUCUAACAAGAUAAUUUAAUUUUUUACGGUUAAUAGUGGCGGCUGACAAAAAUUAAGUUGAUUUAAGAUUGUUUUAUUAAAAUGAAUAUUUUUAACAUAUAACAUACUGUAAAAAUUGGGUAGUUUAUUUUUCACAUUUUCUCAUUCUUAUAAAAAUAAUUAAUAUAUAUCACAAAAUAAAAAAAAAUGAGGUAUUUGAGCAUUUAAAGAAAAACUAAUAAAUUGGUAUGUAAAGUCUUGGGUUUAAAUAAUAAACGUAUCAAAAGUAAUUAUAAUAUAUAUAAUUACUAAAUCAUAAAAAUAUACACUUUCAUAGUUAUAAUAGGAAGGGUAAAUAUCACUUUAUAUCCCGAAUUAUUUUUUGCAUUAUCAAUUAUAUCCUGAAUUAUAGAAAAUAAUUUUUUAAAUUUUGAACUAUCAAUUUUGUAUCAAUUGUACCCUUCAUUCAUUUUUCACCCUUUGAAUUUUUAAUUAGUAAGGCAUAUAAUCACGUCGUUUUAUAUGACGUAGGUUAAGAAAAGAAUAAUUCUAAAUACAUUGUGGCAUCUGGUGAGUCACGUCAACUUUUUGGAGCAAAAAAAAUAAACGAAUGAUAUAAUUGAUACAAAAUUAAUAAUUCAAGAUUUAAAAAUUUAUUUUCAAUAAUUCAUGAUAUAAUUGAUAGUAUGAAAAUUUAUUGAUUUAAAAUGAUAUUUACCUGUUAGGAAUCAAUAAAUGUAUACUUUGCAGCUUGGACCUUAGUUUCUAGUCAAAAUAUGUAACUUCAUGUUGAUUAUAAAUGUUAAGUAUUUUAUGUCAACUUUUGGACUGGUAAUUGAUUCUCAUCUCAUAUGACGUGAAGUGGUUGAAUUAAAUAUGUAUAUAAUUGAGUUAAUGUGAUUAACUAUGACUACUAUGCUUACUAAUUUCUACUCACGCCAUUAGUUUUAUGUACAUUUCAAGUCAACUAAUUGAUUAUGUGUCUCCUCUUUUUAUGUGGUUUUAGGUGAUAUGUUCUAAAAAUUGUCAUAGUUUAGGUAGCAAUUCCAACAACCGCUUCUGCAUGAUCAACUCUUCAGUUUUGUCCUUUUGACUCCCACACACUUCUUUAGUGUAUAUAUAUUUUAUUAAGUUUAACAAAGCACAAAUAAAAUAAAAAAACUUCACAUUCAAUGGGAUAUUAAUUAAGAGUUCAAUUUCGCAAUCACCAAAUAAAAUAAAAUCAAUCCGACUUUAUUAACUUUGCUAAAUUAAUGAGUGUGAUUUUUUUAAUUUUAUCUUUUAAUUUACAUAAAAAUUCAAUAGUUUAAGUCGUACAGUAGCUUUGUCCACACAAGAGUCUAUCUCUUUGAUAUAAUACUAUGUGAUUGGGAACAAUAUUCAUAUAUUCUAUAAAUAGUAUCACUGUUGGGAAUGAGCUACAACUUGAUCCAACUUAGAUUCAAUAUCUCCCACUUCACCCUCCCCCCAUUCAAAAUAAUAUUAGGAUUAUUGUUAAGUUAGAUUUCAUAGUAAGCUUUUUUGCUUGAACUAGUAUAUAUUUAUUUCUUUUGUUUAUUUAUUAGUCCGACUCAUAAUUUUUGGAUGACUUAAUUAAGUGGAUUUUUGUUGAUUUUUCAACAUUUAAAAAGAAUAUUUCAGCUUAUUUACAAGCAUACCAUUGAACUUAAUGAUUUUUUCUUGAAGACACAUCAUUUAAGUUGACUGAAAAUUUUGACAUGUGCUAUUAAGUGAUAACUAUAUAUUAUAUUUAUAAUAUUUUUAAAUUUCAAUUGAAAAAUCAUCAUAAAAGCAAAGUUCGGUCUAUAAUUUAAGAAUAAUUUUUUAUACUACAACAUUUUUUAAAAGAAAAAGUGAUAUUACUACAAGACAUGUAAUUAAUCGUGCAUCAACCUUUUAAGGCUUUUACAUCACAAUAAAUAAUUCUAUGAAUGAAACUUAUCCUCUUUGAAAUUUGAAUGAAAUUUAUGUUAGGAACAUUACUUUAUAAAAUAGUUUUGCAUUUUGUGUAAGAUUUGUAGUUGGUAAAGAUGAGAAAUUUAAGAGCGAAGAAUACAACCAAAACAAUCCUUCAGAAUUCAUGUGCAGGAUUUGGUCCUAAUUUAUAAGAAGAGACAAGGAAUAAUUAUGAAGUCAUAAAUAAUCGGAAUUGACUCAUCUCAUAUAAAACGGAUUGGUGUGGUUGAAGAUGAAGAUGAGCACUCCUUCCUCGACACAAACAAAAAUGCAAGUUGACUUUUGAUCCUCUUCCAAAUUAGAGUCAGAAGGGUACUUCUGUCUUAUUGCGUCACGACACACCGGGCCUUUCCCCGGGUCCCGCCUGACCCGUUUGAUUGAUAGCGCACUAAUCAUAACCUGCCACGUCAUCCCAUUCAGUGUCCACAAUUUUAUGUGUGUCACCGUGUCCUAUUUUUAUAUCUAUUAUUUUAAAAAUAUUUUUUAUAAAAUAAAAUUUAUUUAAUUUUUAUUUUAAAAAAUUAACAUUUUUAAAAAGUAUAUACCAUGACUUUGAAUUUAUCAAUCUAUUAUUAACUAAUAAAAGUGAAAUUAAAUGAUAAAAAAUAAUUAUAUACCCUAGAUUGAUGGAAUAAACCCUAGUUAAUAAUCACAAAAUUAAAGCAUAUAAAGUUUUUUUUUUUGAUUUGGGGGAGUUGGGGAGGGGGAACAGUGGGGUUUGAACCCGGGACCUCACUGUUCAAACACAGGAGGUCGAACCGCUUGGUGUCCCCUUGGGGACCUAAAGCAUAUAAAGUUGAAAUUGAAGAAAAAAUAUAUAAGAAAAUAAAUAAAAUUGAGAGUGAGACAUAAAGUGUGGUACACUGAAUCUCAUUCCCACAAACACCAGCAGUGAAAUAGUAAAAUUUAGGUGAUUUCAGCGCGCAGCCAACAUCUCUCUCCUUCCUAUAAAACCAUACAACAAAAUCUCUUUUGCUACCAAAAUAAAAAAUAAAAAAANAAUGGAAAGAAAAUGUUGUGUUAUUUUGUUCAUCGUCUUCAUAUUUUGUGAAACUGUAUAUCUUGAUGCAUUAUCAGAUGUUGAAAUCUUAGUAAUGCUGAAAUCAUCCUUGGUGGGGCCAUCGGGUUCGGGGCUUGAGGACUGGGUUCCCGCCAGCGCCAGCCACUGCUCAUUCUCCGGCAUAACAUGCGACGCCGGCGGCCAACUAAUCUCUCUCGAAAUCACCAACUCUCCGCUCUUGGGCACUCUUCCGCCGGAGAUUGGGCUUCUACGCGGACUCAUCAAUCUCACACUCGCCGCCUCCAAUCUCACCGGCGCUUUGCCCAGAGAAUUAUGCAUGCUAACUUCGUUGAAGCGCCUCAAUCUCAGCUCGAAUGCGAUCAGCGGCGAAUUUCCCGACGAAAUGCUGCUGAAACUGACUGAACUCGAGGUCUUGGACGUCUACAACAAUAAUUUCGCCGGCGGACUCCCAGUCGGAUUCGUCAAGUUGAGCAAGUUAAGGGUUUUGAAUCUCGCCGGGAACUACUUCUCUGGCGAAAUCCCGGAGGUCUACUCCGAGUUGACAAGCGUGACGCACUUGGCCUUGCAGGGAAACAGCCUCACCGGUAGGAUUCCGGCCGGUCUGGCCAACAUUCCGAAUCUUCUAGAACUUUCUCUCGGAUACUUCAACACUUAUUCCGGCGGUAUCCCCCCCGAAUUCGGGUCCAUAUCGACGCUUCAGUUACUCGAUCUCGCCAAAUGCAAUCUCAGCGGCGACAUUCCUGCGAGCCUCGGCUCCCUGAAGCGCUUGCACAGCUUGUUUCUCCAGGUGAACAAUCUCUCCGGCCAAAUUCCUCCGGAGCUGUCGGGGCUGGCGAGCCUCAUGUCAUUGGACCUCUCCAUAAACAAUCUCUCCGGCGGAAUUCCCGACACCUUCGCGAGGUUAAAGAAUCUGACGCUGAUUAAUUUGUUUGGAAACAAAUUCGAGGGCCCGUUUCCUAGUUUCAUUGGCGAUCUUCCAAAUCUCGAAGUUCUGCAAAUUUGGCGCAACAAUUUCACGCUGGAGUUGCCGGAGAACCUCGGGAGCAACGGGAGGCUGGUGCUGGUCGACGUUAAUACUAAUCAUCUCACUGGCAAAAUCCCAACGGAAUUAUGCAGAGGAGGGAGGCUCACAACUCUUAUCUUGAUGGAUAACUAUUUCUACGGCCCCAUUCCGGUCCAACUCGGGGAAUGCAGGUCCUUAAUCCGAGUUCGAAUCCGGAAUAAUUUCUUGAACGGAACCAUUCCGGCCGGCUUCUUCGCUUCUCCGGCGCUGGACAUGCUGGAGCUCAGUGGUAAUUAUCUAACAGGUCACCUUCCGGUUGAAAUUUCUGCUCAGAAUCUCGGAAAUCUUGAUUUGUCCAACAACUGGAUAUCGGGGAAGAUUCCGGAAGCAAUAGGGAAUCUGAGGAAUCUGGAAUAUCUAUCACUCGACACCAACAGACUCUCGGGUGAAAUUCCGAGCAAGAUUUCCGAUCUGAAGAAGCUGUCGGUGCUGAAGCUGAGUGGCAAUGCCUUGACAGGGCCUAUUCCAGCCUCCAUUGCUCAUUGCUCCCACUUGACGUUCGUGGACUUGAGCCGAAACGAGCUGGACGGCGAGAUUCCGGCGGCUAUCUCGGCGCUGCAGAAUCUGAACGCGAUGAAUCUGUCGAGAAAUGGGCUGGUUGGUCCGAUUCCAAGUGAGAUUGGGCUGAUGAAAAGCCUGACAUUGUUGGACCUGUCAUACAAUGAUCUGUCGGGGCGGAUGCCAACGGCGGGGCUGCUGAAGGACAUGGACGACAGUUGCUUUGCCGGGAAUCCAAACCUCUGCACCGCCUGGUGCGCGUCUGCAUCACACGCGUCGAGGAGUUUGAUGAUGAUCACAAUAGUGGUGGUGGUGGGGUUGUUGGUUUUGGUAGCAACGACGUGGGUGGUGGUGAGAAGAAUGAAGGUAGGCGAUGAGAAGAGGAGGAGAUGGAAGCUGACGGCGUUCCAGAAGGUGGAGAUGAGAGCAGAGGACGUGGUGGAAUGCCUGAAAGAGGAGAAGGUGAUCGGGAAAGGGGGGGGCGGGGUGGUGUACAGGGGAGCGAUGCCAGACGGGGGGGAAAUCGCCAUAAAGAGGGUGGUGGGGCGGGGAAGCGAGCGGGGGUUCAGGGCGGAGAUAGGGACGCUGGGGAGGAUCCGGCACAGGAACAUAGUGAGGCUGGUGGGGUACGUGUGGGACGGGGUGGAUACGAAGCUGCUGUUGUAUGAGUAUAUGGCGAAUGGGAGCUUGGGGGAGAUGCUACAUGGGAGCAAGGGGGGGCAUCUGCAAUGGGAAAUGAGGUGCAGGAUAGCAGUGGAUGCAGCCACGGGGCUCAGCUAUCUGCACCACCAUUGCUCGCCAUCCAUCAUCCACAGGGAUGUCAAGUCUAAUAACAUAUUGCUUGAUGCUAAUUUUGGGGCUCGUCUCGCUGAUUUUGGUCUCGCCAAGUUCUGGCAACCCUCCCAGUCCAUGUCCGCCGUUGCUGGCUCCUACGGCUACAUUGCACCAGGUCACUUUCAAUAUUCUAAAACAAACUUUACAAAAUUUCUUGCUUAAUUAAGCUAAUAUUUUGGUUUUAAUGUACGUAAAUUUGCCGUAUUUCAAAAUUAAUAAGCCUCCUGAUUGUAAAUUAUAGGUUAUAAUUGUGAAUUGUAAGCAAAAUGAAUUAACUAUUAAGAAGCAUUUUGAUCCUCAAUUAUAGGCAAGAUAGAUUAAAUAUUCACAAUAAAAAGUUUUGUAGAUGAGAUAUUUACGACUAAGGGUUCGUUUAAUUUUAUGGAAAAUGAGAGAAUACAUAUAUUUUCACUCUUUUUCCACUAUUUUCAUAUGUUUACUAUGUUAGAAAAUUUUCUCUCGACAUGGUGAAAUAUUUUUCUGGACAGCUCAUUUUCACUCCCAUAUUGAAUAAUACGGAGUAUUAUCUUUAGGUAGUGGUGUGAAAAUAUUUUUCAAUAUUUUCAUAUCUAGUAAAUAUAUGAUAAAAAGAGAGAAAAGAUUAUAUUUUCUCAUAUUUUCUUAUCCAUCAUUUUGCAAUAAAAAAUUUACAAUCAAAAUAAACGCGGAAUUUUUAUGGUUGUGAUUAUUAUAAUAACAAAGGUAAAAUUAUAAGAAUGACUAUUUUUAUUUUUGUCAUCACUCUAUAAUAGCAAAAUGAGCAUUUGAUUAAUCGAGUCUUAAUUUUAGUAGUUGGAUUUAGAUAUCAGAAAUUUGGUGAGUGUGAGAAUCAUAUAUAUUAUUUUGUUGUUGUGACAGAAUACGCUUACACUCUUAAAGUGGACCAGAAAAGUGACGUAUAUAGUUUUGGGGUGGUGCUGCUGGAGCUGAUCACGGGACGGAAGGCCGUCGGGGAGUUCGGUGAUGGGGUCGAUAUAGUUCGGUGGGUGAAGGAAACUACAACAGAUCCUACGGCGGUGGUGGACUCGAGGCUGGCGGCGUAUCCGGUGGCGGAUGUGCUCAAUUUCUUCAACAUUGCCAUGGCUUGUGUGGAGGAUCAGAGCUCUGCCCGACCCACAAUGCGGGAAAUUGUCAACUUGCUCUCUGCAUUUCACCAACCUACACUUGCCAUACAUCACGCUCUUCUCAACGACUGAAGACUCAAGUGUUAGGAAUUUAUGUAUAUUUUAUUUUAUUAUAGAAAAUUGUUUUUUUUUUUUUUUCUAUUGGAAAAACUACCAUAUUUGAUUAUUUCCAACAAUAGUACUUCUACUACUAUACCAAUCAAAUCACCAAGUAAUUUUAAUGGUUCUUUUUUUACCCAUUUUCAAGGAUAAAAAAUAUUUCUUAUAUACUCCCUCCGUCCCUGAAAUAAGUUCAUCUUUUUUCUUUUUGGGACGUCUCCCAAAUAAAUUCUUCUUUCUUUCUUUUCAUUUUUGGACAACUACCCCACCACUAAUAAUACUUUAUUUAUUCUUACUUUUCACUUUUUCACCACUCCAAAUACUAAUUAUAACACAUUUUCACCUUUUCACUACUCUCAAUACUAAUUAUAACAUAUUUUUCUCCACUAUCAAUAUAUUUUACCACUUUUCCUUAAAACUCGUGCCGUCCCCAAAAAAGAACUUAUUUUGGGGACGGAUGGAGUAUAUAUAAAAAAAAAGCAUAUUUUGAACUUGAAAGAAUAAAACCACUUUUACUUAAAUUGCAAACUUUACUUAAAUAGUAACAUUACUCGAUAUGUUCGACCAAUGAAAAUCAAGCAUUAAUAGUAAAUGCUCUAAUGACCGAUCACUACAAGUCGAGUAUGUCGAUUAUUAGUAUAUUUGUGAUAAAUACAUUAAUGCCUCGAUAUGUUCAACCUCUGCAACUCGAGCAUUCGUAGUAUACACUAAUGCUCGAUCAUUGCGAGUCGAGCAAUCGAGCAUUCUUAAAAAAUGCACUAAUACUCAACUUACUCGAUCAUUGCAAGUCCAAUAGUCGAGCAACAAUACAAAAUGCACUAAUGCUCAUCAUAAGGGUAGAAAAGUCCUAAAUGUUGUGUACUUAUAUAUUUUGUGAAAAGUGAGUAAUUUUUAAGUUUUGUCUUUCAAAAUUGGUGUAUACUCCCUCCGUCCCUCAAACAUCUUCCUAAGAGAGGGUGGCACGGGAUUUAAUAAAAGUUAAUUGUGUUGUCAAACUCCCCACUGAACAAUGCUUCUAUGGAGUCGAUUAUUAUAAGCUUGAUGUUCAAUUUGGGAAUGAGAAGAUCUAAGCGAGGCAAUACAUCGAGCAUCGAAAUUGGUGGUGGUUCCACUACCACCAAUUUAGGUGCAAUUUGAUGGCAUGUUAUAGCGAGACGGCGGCGGGGUCGGUGCUGGAUGAGCUUAAUUUUCCGGCGAGCUUGGCGAAAAAGAAAGGGUGGAAGGGCUUAAUCGCACCCAAAUUGGUGGUGGUCCCACCACCAAUGAAAUAAGGGUUAAGUACCAAAUACUCCUCCAUCGUUGGCGUCCCUAUCGCGUACAUCACCCUAUAGUCAGGGUAACCGUUGUUUACUACCUCAACGUGGCAAAAUCGAAGCAAUUACCCCCCGCCUUUUAACGGCCCUAAACGUCGUUCGAAUUUUUAUUUUUUUUCUUUUAAUUUAACGGGGCCCACUCCAACGGUUUUCAGCGGGAGACGAAGGGGUUUCGUGCUACUCCUAAUACACCCAAAGGUCUUCUCCUCCACCAUUCCAAUUACAACACUAAAAAAGCUUUCUUCUUCACCGCUGCUCCUCUGUGGAAUCAAAUGUUGCAUGCAAUGCCAGAAGACGACGCCGGCGGUUCAAGGUAAGUGUAUUGAUUGAGAAAAUCACGAUUUAGCUUCGUUUGAGUUAUUUCGAGCAUUGAUUUUUUUAUUUUAUUUUUUUGCGUUUCAGUUACGCUUUUAGAGCUUUUGGUUCAACUACGGGGGGUAUUGGGAGAAGAAGGAGGGUUGGUAUUAUGAAGUCUUCUUCCUCUAUUCAUCAUAAUCAUCAUUCAUCUUUUGUAGGGAAUACUUCAAUUCGCUCUUUUCAACAUCAAAUUCGCAACCUAUAGCGUGAAGCUUCUUUACCAUUUGUCUACAUUCUUUCAAUUCAUUAAUAACAGAUUUUGCUCUUUCACCCAUGGGCUCGUCAUGCCACACAAAAAAUCCACAAUUCUUCGACUGAAACAACAAAAAUUGCACACAACUUAAAGCUUUAUACAGAAAUUGCACACAACUUAAAGCUUUAUACAGAAAUUUCAUCUUCAAAAAUGAAGAAAAUUUACCUUCCAAUUUCGACACCCAUAAAACCUGCGACCAGGACUAUCAACUGUCCAUGAAGUCAUUAAAGGUGAUGUCAACCUCGUGCCAUCAAUUUUGCACAUACAGAAACAUGGAGUACCUUCCAUGUCCGCGUCUGUCGUUUUUCUUCGAGAUGAAUUGCUCGACCCACAAAACAAAUUGGAACUCAUAGGUAUUAUAUUUUGCAAACAAGAAUUGAAACCCUAAUUUAAUUUACACAAAUUCGCUCCCGAAAAGAAGAGAAAUCACAAUUGAAAAACUAGGGUUCGUCGAUUGUAAAAUGAGGGAUUCACCUCCCCAACCUUUGAUUUAAAAACUGUUAGGGUGGGGCCCAUUGUAAUUAGAUUUUUUUAAAAAAAUUAAAAACGAACGGCGUUUUGGGCCGUUAAAAGGCGACGGGGUAAUUACUUCGAUUUUACCACGUUGAGGUAGUAAAUAGCGCUUACCCUGACUAUAUAGUGUUGUACGCGAUAGGGACACCAACGAUGGGGGUGUAUUUGGUACUUAACCUAUGAAAUAAAAAAUAAAAAAAUAAAAUACUUAACGGAGUUAAACGGUCAUUAGGAGGGAGGGCUUAAUUGCACUGAAUUUGGAACAUCGGGGACUUGAUUGAUCUAAUGUCUAGUAUAUAUAGGGUUGGCCGUGAUAUGGGUGUCCAUGUUAGAGGUGUAUUUGACAUUUAACCAUGAUUUUUAAUUUGUAUGUGUGAAACUAGAAAUGCAUAUAGUAUUACUCCCUCCGUUCCACUAUAAGUGGCUCAAAACUUUUCUAUACGAGAAGUAAGGAGAAUGUGUAAAUGUGUUAAAAUGGUAGGGUCCACACUUUUUUUAGCGUUAAAUUUUGUCAUUUGUAAAAAUAGGUUACUUAUAAUGGGACAGCCCGAAAUGGAAUACAUGUCACUUUUAGUGGGACGGAUAGAGUAUUAUUUUGAAUAGGAUGGAGUAUCUCCUUUUUAAGUUGGAACAUAAAUAGUUGAGACCUAGUUUGCGACCUACUAGACAAUUUAGUAAAAAUGAUUCAGAAGUUAUGUGUUACGUCAAAUCUUGCCAAAUUGUUACUUCUUCCAUCCCAAUUUGAUAGGUUCAUUUUUUUGGGUACGAAAAUUAAGAAACUUAUUUUUUAUGAGGAAAGUGGUGUGGUCCACACCAAUUAAAUAUAUAUUUUUAAAAUAGAAAAUGAGCUUAUUCUAAUGGGACGUCACAACAAGUAAAACAAGUUUAUUAAAGUGGGACGAAAGGAGUAUAUGUUUACUAAAGAAGCCCCACUAUCUUUGUUUCCCUAUUGAAUAUGGUGGAAAUUAGAACAAAAUAAUUAAAAUUUGGCAUGAUAAUCAAAUGUGAUCCUCUGUCCCAAAUGUAGUGUGUACCACUGUGUACCAUUCUUAAUUUUUUUUUAUAAUUUUUAAUUAUUCAUUAUUCAGUUUUAAUGUAUUAUACUUUAAUAUAAGAGUGGAUUUUUAAAAUGACCACUUUCAUAUUGUAAAAUUAAAAAUUGUCCACUAAGAUAAAAAUAUUAAAAAAUGGCCAUUGUUACCAAAAUACCCUUUCACAUUAAAAGUUAAAAAAAAUGUCCACUUUACAUCACCCCUUUAAAAAAUCCCGCAAUUCACAACCAGUGUGAAUUCACAACAAGUCGAAUUCACAAUCAGAAUUUUUUGUUUGUGAAUUCACAGCCAAAAUUUAAUUCACAACCAGAAUUUUUUGGUUGUGAAUUCACAACCAAAAUUUAAUUCACAACCAGAUUUAUGUUGGUUGUGAAUUCACAACCUGAAUUUAAUUCACAACUAGAAUUUAUUUUGGUUGUGAAUUUGAGUUUUUAAAGUUUGAAUUCAUACUUAAAACUGUAAUUUAUUUUGAUUGUGAAUUUAUAGAUUUGGUUGUAAAUUCAAGAAUAUUAAGUUGUGAAUUCAUCGAGCUAGUUGUGAAUUCAAGAACAUUAAAUUGUGAAUUCAUCGACCUGGUUGUGAAUUCUUAAAUCUAGUUGUGAAUUUAAAAACAUUAAGUUGUGAAUUCAUAAAUGUGGUCGUGAAUUCAAGAACAUUAAAUUGUGAAUUCAUAGAUUUAGUUGUGAAUUCAAGAAUAUUAAGUUGUGAAUUCAUCGAACUGGCUGUGAAUUCAAGAACAUUAAGUUCUGAAUUCAUAGAUCUAAUCGUGAAUUCAAGAACAUUAACCAAAAUGUUCCAAUUAAUUAAUUAACUAACCACCAUUAUAAAAUAAUUAGAAAAUACUCUCAAUCUAGUUUUAGUUGUGAAUUCAUAAAUCUAGUUGUGAAUUCAAAAAUAUUAAGUUGUGAAUUCAUAGAUGUGGUCGUGAAUUUAAAAUUCAUAGAUUUAAUCGUAAAUUUAAGAAUAUUAAAAAAAUAAUUAUAUAGCUCGAUCAAAUUGCUAUACAACACCAAAAAGUUCUUAACACAAAAGCUAUGUUGUUGUGUUUCAUCCAUAGAAACAAACACACAUCUUCAUGUAAAUCAGAAUAAUGGUAAAUGACAUCUACUUGAAUACACAGUCCUCAUUCCGAAAAGAAGCACCAUAUUUUUAUGUUGAUGCCUCUAAAUUCUCAUCAUCAGACAUCUAAAUUUGUUAAAGUUCGAGUUUGAGAUGGAGAUGAAUGUGGUGCUUCCAUCUCAUUCUUCUGCAUAUUCUUAUACAAUAAGGAUAAACAAUCAUACAAACUAACAAAAACAUCACAUCCUUAAAUAUAUGCUGGAUACCUAUGGUGACGAAGCCGGCCAAAAAAGAAAAUAGAUCUAAGCAUACUUCACAAUAUUUCCGCCACAAUACUAAAAAAAAUUCACUCUCUACACUGGAAAAUUAACUCAAAAUCGUCGGAGAACGUCGCACCAUCCCUAAGAAGAACCGCUGCUGCAGGACCACCCGUUGAAGUACCGCCGAUGGAGGAAGGAACGUCGUCACCGCCGCUGGAGAGGAAGGGUGGCCGCCUCCGCCUUCAAUUUCUCGGGAGAGAAACUAGAAAAUUAGAAAGAAACGUAAAGAGAGAGAGAGAGAGAGAGAGAGAGAGAGAGAGAGAUCUGCCUAAAUCUAGAUGGCCGUGAGAUCUGGCUUCUCUUCGCUGGACUUGAGGAGAUCUGCCUGAAUCUGGAUGGCCGACGGAUCUGCCUGAAACUUGAGGAGAUCGACUUGUCUCCUGCAAAACUGUGCGGCGCUGCCGAUGUGUGUCACUGUGGUGGUGGCUGCCGCGGCGUCGAUGUGACGCCGGAGAAAUUGGGGAAGAAGUACGCCGCGUGGAGCAGAUAGGUGGCGGAGGAAGGAAGAGAUGGCAGCGGCGCCGGUAGUUAAAGAGAGAGAGAGAGACGUGAAGGUGAAGAGUGAGAGUGACGUGAAUUGUGGUGAUGAAUUGAAUUCGAGAGAGC